UUAAUAUCGAUGUUUUGCACUUAAUAGUAAUGAUUUACUUGUGUUUUACUUUUGUAGGUGCAAUUCUAUUGAUUUGUAAUAAAAUUGAGCUAUAAGAUGAUGUUUAAAGAUGAUUGUUCUCUUGGAGAAAUUAUGAGCGUCAGAAGAACUUUGUUGAUAAGGCGUGGGCGCGUGCUGUCAACUACGGACCUGCAGUUUUUAGUUUAACGUGUUUUGUAUUUUUGAUUAUUUUUGUAAUUACGAAUUUAAUAUUUCAGAUAUUAGUAUUUUAUUUUAAAUAGAAUUCUAGAGGAGAAGAGAGAGAGAGUAUUUAAGAGAGGAAUCUAUUGUGAAAAAGGGGAUUUUUGGAUUGGAGAAAAAGGAAAGAAACCCUAGAUCUAAUUUUUCUCUUCUCUCUAUGAAAAACUAAACUUAUUUUUCUGGUUGAAGGUUAAUGAAGCUUUGAUUCAUCACUACUGUGAGAUCUUUCUUAUGCUUUAAUUGUUUUAUUACUUUUUGGGUAUUUGUUUAUUCUCUGAAUUAGUUUCAUGAUUAUAUUUGUUAAUUAGGUAAUUGGCCACUAUUUAAUUAUCAACUUAAUCUAUUGUCAAUUAAAGGAUUCAUCGUAUGAAGAUUUUAAUGUUUGUGACAAAUAACAUAGCAGUGUGACAAAUAACAUAGCAGUGAGUUGUGUUAUGAGAAUAAACAAUCUAAUUUAAAUGAAUCAUCAUAUGUGUUGAUUAGGAUUUGGGUCUCUCUGGUUUUUCAGGCUGUCAAUUGAUUAAAUCAUAUGAUCGUAUCUAGGGUUGUCUAUUGAUUAGGGAAAUAUCCAACGGUCGUACCUUGGUUAUCGACUAAUUAAGGAGAGAUUGGCUAUUAGAGGGUCUCAAUAGCUAUAACCGGUCUAUUCAUAAGUAAUAAUAAUCUAUAUUUGAAUCAAUGAUCAGUAGUCGAAUCAAGCUGAGUUAAUUCCUUCAACCAGAGCUUUCUCCAAUUUGAAUUACAACUUUAAUUUGCAUUCUUGUUAUUUUUAAUUUGAUUUUUAUUAUUGUCAACAAUUCCCCCAUUUACGUUUUACGUUUCAAAAGGAUUUAAAUAAUUACCGAUCUCUAUUGACACAACCCUGCUCAAUCACUAUACACAAUUUAUUUAGAGUAGGAAUUUAUUUUUGUUGGCUUCGACAACCAUAAGCUUGAUGUGCCAAUAAAGCUCUAAUCUUAAGCCUUCACUCGUGAAAAUCAUUUUCACCUGCAAACUUCUCUACAUCAAGCUUAAAUGCAGCCAUUCUGAGGUCAAGAAUCCUGAAAAUAGCUCUAAUACCAAUCUAUUGAAUUUAAACUCAGCAAAUAACCAACUCCCCAAGAUCUACUCUUGAGUACUGUAAUCUCAGAAUUAUACAUAUGACGAUCAAGCUUAAUGCAAUUGACUCUUAAUGAUUCAAGAAUGGUAACAAGACAACAAGAACAUAAACUAAAUUACACAAUUUGACAAUAGAGAUUUAUAGUGGUUCAGCUUCAAGCAAACCUACAUCCACUAUGCAAAGAGAAGUAAGAUUUCACUAAUUUUGACUUUUUAAGGUGCAAUGUUGUAGAGAAGUGUAACAGAAUCACGAGAUUACAAUAACCACUCAUGAGGUCUUAUAUAUAGAGAGAUAUUCAUCUAGAGAGGUCCGCUACCAGCCACCUCUUGUAUUCUUGGGUUUGUUAUCAAAACCUAGAAGCUUUCCGCGCAUAUAACAAACUUAACAACCAUUUAAACUAGCUGAUGGACACAUGUCAAGGCCUCACCGAUUCUGUUAUGCAAAACGGCAAAUGUAGCUGCUGUAUUUGAUAAGUGAUGCAUGUCUCCUUGCUGACAAUACGUAAAUGACACACAUCCCUCCGAAGCUUUACAAACGAAGUGUCAUACAUGUAUGAACGACAUGUCAUACGGGUCUGGAGAAUGUAACCAACUUGUCAAUCUCGAUCAGAAACCCAUAUUUGAGCUUCAUCCUUUAGCAAAAAAUGACAAAGAAAUGGCUUAAUGGAAGCAUAUCUAAAAUGGAAAAAUCAUAGAAGAUUAUUGAUAUAAGAAAUUGAGUAUUCCUCUACUAUAUAUAUCUCUCCCACUUGGUAUCUUUGAAGCUGCAACGAAAACUAUUGUGAUUAUGAGUGCAAAAAUUAAGUAACAUGAAACUGAAGAUGGAUUAUCAAUACGUCAUGAUGAAAAAAUAGAUAAACUAUAGAGAGUUAAAACGUAAAAUAGACUAAAUUUUCAUUAAGACCAAAAUUGCUUUUGGGUUAUAAGAACCGUUGUAAAUGCCUUUGAUGGGAUCUCUCAUUGGAAUAUUUCACAACGGUGAAGUUCUUUACACUGUUGCAGAAGUAUUUCACAAUCGUGUAAAUGUCCAUCUAGCACUUUAGUACUGGUACUUAGGGUGCGUUUGGGAUUGAGGUUGGGCAGCUGUAGCUUAAAAGCUACAGCACUAAAGUGUUUGGUAAACACUAGCUGCUGUAGCUUUUAAGCUAUGUUGAUAUGAUUUUUCACUUGUAUAAUAUAAAAUUUAUUAUAUCUUUAAUAUUUUUAUCAAAAUUAUUAUUUAAAAUUUAUAUUUACUAUAUAUUAUUAACUUUUGUUUCAUAAUUACAACUUUUUUUUCACAGCAGCUGUAGCUUAAAAGCUACAGCACCUUAAUCCCAAAUGCACCCUUAGUAAACUGUAGCUUUUAAGCCAUAAUGUUAUAUUAUUACUUUACUAAGGUUAAAUAGCAAUACAUUAUUUUCUUAAAGGUAUAGGGAUUAGCAAAUCUCAAUUUAAUUUUUAAGCCAUCUAUUUUUUCCAAGAUUCAAACUUGGGUGAAUAGUCAAACAAAAUUGUUGAAAACCACUUAGCAGCAAGUGAGAACUUGGUGGUACAUAACUUUUAGCCUCUACCUUCUCAAAUUUAAACUUAAGUGGCCAACUAAAUGAAAUUACUUGAAAACCACUAGGCCAAGGCUAGGGCAAACAUAUUAUAUAUAUUCUAAGAGAACAAUCACUAUUAAAAAAAUGGUCUUUAUUGACUUUAGAAUAGUGUCAGAAAUUACUUUCACUGACACUUGUUAAUUGUGUCAGUAAUCUGGGAGUCAGAAAAAUAAUGACACUUGUAAGUGGUGUCAGUGAUUACUAUUACUACAGUAUUACCGAUAUUAUGACACUAUAGUAUUAGUAGUUAUUGAUAUUUUAUUAGUGUCUAUGAUUACUGUUACCAUGGUAUCACUAGUUAAUUUAUUUUAAAAAAAUAAAAAAUUGAAUUGGAUCAUUGCCUAUUGAUUUAUUCGGAAAAUUAAAAGGCACCACAAAAUAACAAAAAGAAAUUGAUUUAUAUCAUAAAAUCUUUCAUUUCACAUUUAAAUAUUAUUAGUAUAUAUUACAAAUUCCAAAACUUUAAUAACAUAAAUAUGAGAUAUCCUACUCUCAUAACUAAAUAAUCCAAAUUCAAUACAUAAAAAUUUCUACUAUCCAAUCAAAUGCCUACUACUUGUGGCUAAAUUUAAUAAAUCUAUAAGCUAAAUUGACAAGGAUGACUGCCUUUCACUCUUUGAAUAUGAGUAGUAUAAUUGCGUUAUCCACCAGCAGCUUCUCCAUUCAAUAGACUGUAUAGGUUAGGAUAUAAGUGAAGUUGAAGAAUAAACACUUCAAACACAUUGAUCAAAUCUGCAUAUGAAUACAUGGAAAAGGAAAAAAAAUUAGCUGCCAAUAUCGAGCCAUUAGAGAAACAACAAUUAACAGAAAUAAAAUUAUUUUGUUCGAAAGAAAAAAAUACUCAUAAGCUAUUUAUAAAUAAACUCAAUUAUUCUCUUUUGGUAAAGGUUAUAUAUAUAGCAAACUAUAGCAGACAAGAAGUUUUCAAUGUAAUAUCUACUUUCAGCACAAGCAUGUUACUCUAUCUACAUAUACCAAAUGAUUUUUGUGCAUAGUUAAAAGCUAUCACAAAUGCUCUAUUAUAAAUAAAUCACCACUCAUUUCCUCAAUUUAUUCAUUCUAAAAGCUUAUUUAACAAGGCAAAAAAUAAGUUCUCAAACUGCAGUUUCCUUAAACUGGGCAUAAAAUAACUAUGAAUCUCCAUAUUUAUAUUAGGCAUAAUAAAGCUUGGACAUAAAAUAUUUCAAUAAUUUGAGAGUUCGAUCCAAAAUUAUUACUACUAAAAGAAAUAAUAUUUGUAAACUUAGUUAAGCCUUUAUAAAGUGAGUAAGAGAUUUAUUAUACUACUUAAAUCUAUUCAUGUGAACCAUUUAAAGAAUAUCACCCUAAAUUGUAAUUAAGUAUUCAUUAAUUUUUCCUAAUUAUAAACUUUAAGAAGAUAAAAAAAAAAGUAGAAUAAAAAUAUAAUCAUUAUAUAUUUCCACUCACAAGUAAUGUUGCUUUAACUUGAUUGACAUCAUAACCCAAAAAUCGCUUUAAACAUUAGCUCAUGAAAUAAUGGAUAAUAUUACUUACGAGAAAUUACUAGUUCUCCAAACUGGUACAGACCUCAGAAAUGGGAUGGUCCCCCACAUUAAUGCCAUCCUGCAUGCCAUAAACGGGACUUCAGGUUUUGUGCAAAAUCUCUUUAGGAGAAAUUGUUUUUGAAGAUAAACAGUUUGUCAAUACCAGCAGUGGUUUUCAUACAAUGAGAUAAAAGUAAAUGGUUUAUAAAGGAGAAUGUGGUCGUACAAAUGCGGUAGCGCAGUUAUGCAGAAAUUCAAUGGUAAAACAAGACCAGCUUGCAAAUCGACACAUGAAGUUAUAGGAUGAGUAACCAAAAUGAAAAUAUUGAGAUGGAGAGGAAAAGUGACUCAAAACGUAAUACAAGGAAAGAAGGAAAUCAACAUAAGAUGAGAGAAGCAUUCGAGAGAAUGCCAAUAGCAUGAAGCUAAGAUGAAAAAAAGAUGAACUUAAUAAAAUGUGAGAAUGCCAAUUGCAUAAAAUUUGUUGCCUGCUUAAGACAUGCAGCAGGGGUGGUAUCAUUAUGUUUUGCAUUUAGAUCACAUUCAACAUUUUUUACUUCCAAAAUCAUUCAGACUCAUGGAGAGCCAAUAAAGCAUUCUUCUAACACCAAUAAGAGCACCCUUAGAAUUAUAAAGAGUAUGAUAAAGAAGGAAAAGUGUGCAGCUAGAGCUGGAUAGUUUAUGAGUUCAAUAAUAAAUGUGCCAUCAAGAACUCCAAAUAAACCCACCAAAGAUUGUUUCCAAAAUGCAGUGAACGCAAGCUAAAAAAAAAAAAAAACCUAUUCAACCUAAAUAAGCAAUUUGUAUAUUCUUCGCAUAUCUUUCUUCUAGUCAAACUGAGCAAAGAAGUUUUGUCUGAAACUACUAACAACCGGUUAAUGUCAAGGAAGUGCAAAAGAGAAAUAGUCCUAUGAGACUAGAAAUUUAUUUUCGUUCAAUUUACCCACCGCAGGAACUAUUCCAAGAGGAAUAAAUCAUUAUUUUACCACAGGUUCUUCCUAGGCAUGGCAUGGUGAUAAUAUUGUAUGUCUAUGGAAAUGAAUAAAAAAAUCCCAGUAGUGCAGGUCCCAAGCAAAACCGAUUCUAUUCAUUUUCGUGAAAACUUUAAUGAAUUUCGCAUGAUAAACUUAAGUACCUAGUUAAUUGCCAAACUUAAUUAAAAUUUACAUCCAGCAUCUUCUAAUGCAUCAGCUUAAGCAGUCAAACCAUCUAAACAAGUCCCAGUAAUUCUUGUUCUGUCCUACUGUUCAGUUCAUUUUUGACACAUAAUAAUUCAAUUCCAAAUAACCAAAUGGAAUAAGAUACAAGAACAUUUAACUUCAUUAGUUUUUCUCAGAACGAAACAUACCCAUCAACAAGCUGAACAAGUUUUGGAUAUAGCUGCUCAUCUCGUAAACGAUUUAUUUCGAGAACUGUUGAAUCCAUGGAUUGCAUAUCGACAAUAUAUCUUGUAUGCAGAUGACUGACUGCUGCUUUUAUUUUCUCCAGUGCUUCAGUGUUAGUACCUCGUUUCUUUUGCUUGUUAAGCAUAGCAACCUUUCUUUGGUAGUCAAGUUUCAUAAGUUCACCAGCCUAUCAGCAACAUCAGUACCAAAUAAGAUUCAGAAGACAGUGUGUAUGAAAAAUGUAAUACAGAGAAAACAAUAUCAUGGAAGCUGCACAUUUUGCAGAAACGAAAAAAAAUUAAAAGUUUGCUAGUUGAUUUUGAAUAAUUUUUUUUUUAUUUCAACCAAACAGAGAGGUGAGAUUUAGCUUACCAAUCAAUGAAUAAUAAUUACAAAUUUUCUAAAUAUGGCGGUAUUCAUGCAAAAAGUUAUUCAAUCUUAGAUUAAAGGAAGAAAAACAAGGACUAAAAAUUGACUUCUAUUUGGCAAGGUGAUAAUACAAUUUACAAGCCAAGUCCAAAAAAAUGAAGAGGUAUAAGAAGGGCACUCCAUCAAGCAUUUCCUAAAUCUGACCAACAAUGUAAUGCUCUUUCCCUACUCAUUCCCCUCCAUGUUUUCUACUGCAAGUUUAUCAAAGGAAACUUCAUGAUGAACUUAAGCAUGGAAAUAGAAACAAUCACCUCUCUGCAGGCACUUUAAACUAGGAUUUACAUAUAUAGAAGUAAUGACUCAAGAAGUAGACAUUUGAAGUUAAACAAAAGCUCAAUGGACAUCCAUAUAAAUAUCUACUAGUUCAAUGGGAUGGUCCCCCACAUAUUUAAAUGUUUGACAAAUACCCAAAAAUCAACUUUCCCAAUUAUAGAGUUACAUGUUUGCAAAUAUUACUUAUGGAUAAUGACCCACAAAGUAAAAAUCAAAUAUUUCCCUUAACAGUUCUUGAUUAUGGAAGUAUAGGACCUCCUUUUAUUCCGAAAUGAAUUAACUUUUAAUCAUUUUAAGGCAGUGUUCAAUCAUAAUUAUUUUUCAAAGAAAAAACUGGUCCUGAAGAACUCUAAAUGACCAUUUACUAAGGCCAAGAUACCUUCAGAUCCUUGAUUGAUAAUGCAUCAUAUAUCUUUCCUCAAUCAUACAACCACCCAGAUCAAAGCAUCAUAUGUUGCUUAAAUUCCAUAAACUCAACAGAACAGAUAACUCACCUCCAGGCGGAAUAGGUUUGUGGGAAAAACAAUCCCAGCUCCAGCAGAACUUCGAGUUGACUCCAAAAACUUUGGCAAAGAGAAAUUCCGUAUUCAUUCUCUAUUAACUUGGCAACGUUCCCAGCACAUGCAAAAAGAUGUCCAUGAAUUCCUUUUUCUCUAAACCACCUCAAUGGAAGAUCAAAAGAAAGAUCUGCAAAGGCUGAAACAGCAAGGUCUCCUCCAAGAAAAUCCAUUUCAGAAGCAUCAGCAUUCUCAUCAAGGAAUCGCCUCUAACUUGCCUUCUUGGCUCUGCAGGGCCCAAUCCCCUUGUCUUAAACCCCCACAAUGUCGAUGGCCUCUCUGAACUCAACAUUAAAAACAAUAAAAUACCCCUAAAAAAAAGAGCCCUAAUUUUUUGAAUCUGACUUUCGAACCCUAACUUUGGCCAAGUUCUUCACAACACUUUCUAGGCUUUUUUCCAAGGGUAUUUUAGCUCAAGGAUGGCGGCUUAUUUUGAAGGUUUACAGCAACGACUUGUGAGGUAGACCGUUGUUAGAGAGAGGUAGAGAGAGAGAGGGGGGAGAGAGAGAGAAGAGAGCUUCGGUUCAAAGAAGAAAGUGGCGGUGGGGAUAGAUUUUUUGCUCGUCAAAAUUUUUAGAUUUUAGGUUUCCAUGUACACCUCAUUAAAACGACAUAGUUUCUACUUUCUAGAUAAUUUAAUUUAAUUUUUAAUAAUUAUUGUUUAUUAAGUAAAAAUGCAACUUGUGGUUUGGUGGCUUAACGUUUAAAAUUAAAAAGUAAAGUAUAGAAGUCUGCGGUUCGACUCCCAGUGGAUACAAAUUAAAAUUUUAUUUUUUUAAUUACUGAUACCUUAAUGUCACAUAUUUGUGAUACUUAAUUUACAGACACUAUAGUAUUGAAAAUUUGUGAUACUUAUCUGUUAAACACGGAAAAUGCCCCAAACACAUGUAAUUACUGAUAUUUUUUAAUUAAGUGUCACAAGAUAAAUAUCAGUAAAGACUAUUUUUCUAGUAGUGAAUAAUAAUGUAAUAGUGAUUUGUUCAAUGGAUCCAAAUCUCAAAAGGUUUCGAUGACUUCAUUAUGGGCAAUUUGAUUAUAUGAUUCAUUGACAAAUUCAAGUAAAAUUGAGGGGUCAUACAUAAAAUUGGUGAAAUUUCAACUCCCUGUGCUUCUGUAAUUAUUUUUUGUCCACGGCAUGUACCUGGCGAGUUAACAAAGGCCUCGUUUUCUUAAAAAUAAAAUCUACCUUUAUGCUGUCUUGUUUUAUCCACAUGCCGCCAACUAACACCACAUGAGUCUACCCAAUAAGCAUUAAACUCACAAACAACAAAAUAGCCACUUCUUAAGUUUUCAUCAUAUCAUAGUACUUAUAUGUAAAUGUAAUUAUUAGCCAACCAAUUAGCCAAAUUGUUCCUCUAAANNNNNNNNNNNNNNNNNNNNNNNNNNNNNNNNNNNNNNNNNNNNNNNNNNNNNNNNNNNNNNNNNNNNNNNNNNNNNNNNNNNNNNNNNNNNNNNNNNNNGAGGUUGUUUUGGCCUUUGGGAACUGACUUUGAUGAUCAAUUUAUGUGCUGCUUGUUCAGCUUCUUGCUCUACGUUCUUAUGCAAAAUGAGUGCUGUUAACAAAAAUUGGGCAAUGCAAUUAAUAGUUCAGAAAUCGGAGCAAGUAUAUUUCAUAUCUAAAGUUGAAGAUUAUUAAAAUGACUAAUUUAGAGGAUUGCAGCCAUCAUAUUCAUAUUCCUGUUAAAGGAUGAUACAGCUUUCAUACUAGUUAAAAAUAAAUAAAUAAAUAAAUAAAAAGAAGAAGCAUAAAUAAAUAAAUGCAUCCUUCCUUUUCACGCUUAGAAAUUAAAGUAGCUGACGACAUACGUUAGUGAAUGCACAUAUCUAUAAAGCCUUCUUUGUCAAGGCUCUAGAGUUACCAUUUGAUAUAACGUUUCUUUACAAAUAAAUCCUGCUAAUAAUUGCUAAAAUGCCGCGAGUUGCUCCUCGUGCUUCAGGUCCGGCUAACCUUAGGAGCACUAAUUUUAACUAUCUUAUCGAUUUUAUUGAGAGAAAGGAAGCAGGUAAGUGUUUAAUAAUAUAUAUCAGUUACGUGCCCAAUCCGGGGUUCGUCCCAAGCGGCCCAGUGGGAACUGGCAGACCAGAGUAGAUAAUAAGAAGUCAGAAGUUCUGCCGUCAGAUACUCCACAACCCUUAGAUACUCCACGACCUGAGCCUUCCAUCACUAAACAGAUUGCAGAUGUCGAGUCUCUGAUUGUCUUACCUACGGAGAACCAAGUUAACGCUACAAACUCUAUUUCCAUUAAGGAGCCGAUUGGCCAGGAUGUCACAACUCAUGAUUCUAGGAUCCGAAAACCUGGUGAGUAUAAUCCACAUCUUCAUUGAGCGUCCAGCACAAAUUUUAGGCAUUACAGUAGUUGACAAAACCCAUAUCAGUCCGCGAUAGAACGGCGCUCCUCGUUGUUGCCUGUGAGGGAAACUGGGAGUUCAUGGAGGAGUUGGUGAAUGUCAUGGAUGCAAAUGAUCUUGGAAUGGUAGAUGAAUUGGGUUGCACGGCACUUCAUUAUGCGGAAGUUGGUGGAAGCAUCAAGGCGUGCAGGCUUUAGUAAGGAAAAAGCGUGCUCUUACACAAACUGUGAGCAACCGCGGGUGGACUCCGCUUCUCUCUGCAGCUCAUUGUGCUCCCAAAGAUAAAGACAUUGUAUACUACCUUUCAUCUGUAACUACUAAUGAACCUCCCGGCAGCCCAUUCACUGGUCCUUUGGCUGGUAUGCUUGCUUGCGCACUAGCUGCUGGAGGUUUUCAUGGUAAAGUAAAAUAUCUACAUCGUGACUUCCAUGUCAAAUGCAUUCGUUGAUGGAUUUCUUUUGUAACUUUUUUUUUUAAUUUAACUUUUGCAGCAGAUAUUAUUUUAUAUUUAAGCCAGGGACAUCGUAACUUAGGUACUGUUAAAGAUGAUGAGGGGCAUAAUAUACUAGAUGCAUUGGUUUUAAGGCCCCAGGAUUUCCAGAAUGGAACCGAUCUUGGAUCUUAAAAAAACUGGAUCUACCCUCGUUAGUCCUCUCUCAUUGUAUAUCAUUAUAUAUUCUACAACAGUAUUUGCUGAUAUAUAUUUUUUUUUCCUUUUUUACUUGUUUAAGUUGUUCCUGUGGAAAUGGAUUCCUCAGCACCGUGGUCAGCAAGAAUUGGUCUGGUCAAUACAACCGGUCAAGGUUUAUGAAUUAAAUUUCGUAUUAGUUUUGGUUUUGUAUUGCAAUGUUCUAGUAUUAUGGGUUUAAUAUGGUUUAAUUAUUGACUGGAGUUUUAAUAUAAGAAUUUAAAUUUUCUCCAGCGUGCCAAUGUUGUAUUCUUUAGUUGAUCAUUUCUAACGUGUCAUGCAUUUUCAUUCAAGUGAUUUAAUACUUUUUUCUAUAUCGGUAUUUUNNNNNNNNNNNNNNNNNNNNNNNNNNNNNNNNNNNNNNNNNNNNNNNNNNNNNNNNNNNNNNNNNNNNNNNNNNNNNNNNNNNNNNNNNNNNNNNNNNNNUUGCUCUCCCUGGCUUAAUGAGGGUGACUUGAUCAUGUAAUUUCUUAUACAUUAUCCAUUGUUUGUUUUAUUUGCAGUGCCUGGUAUCAAGCAAAUUCGGGAUGCAAAGUUGACACAUAAAUUGGCCCUCGAAAUGGCCAAACACGUUUUUAAAGCAUUUCAAAUGUUUAUGAUGUAAAGGAUUAUGUAUCUUUCCACUCAAACACCAUAGCUGCUGCAGCAAGCUCUGGCAUUGUUGAAAUCGUAAAGAUGUGUCUUCAAAUGUUCCCACAUACCAUUUGGCUUUCCACUGAUCAGCAAACCAUACUGAAAGUUGCUGUUUGUUAAGGAAGCUCACGUUGCAGUCAAAAGGAGCAGCUCAGCUGGCACGUGAGAUCUAAAGCCAAAUCAGCAGAGUCUGUUAAGAAGCUAUGCCAGCUCAGCAAGUUUGUUGAAGCAUGCUUUUCAUUCUGUUUUGUAGUUAAGCUUACUUAAUUAGUUUAGCUCUCUUGUUUUAGCUUGGUAUAUAAACUGAUGUAGAUCUGCUUUUCAUUGUUAAUCGAGAAAUGAAAUAAAAGAAAAACUCCAGAAUAUUCUUUUCAUUUUCUUAGUUCCCAAACACAUUUUACAAUUACACAUUUAACUUUCAAACAUGGUAUCAGAACCAAACAGAGCAAGCUCUAGUAAUCAACAAAUAAAUUCCAGAAAUACGACAACAGCAAAUGUAAGUCAGAUCAAUUUCUCAUUUAACACUCCAAUCAAGCUAGAUAGAUCCAAUUAUCUGCUUUGGCGAUCACAAGUUUUAGCAUCGAUCAGAGGAAAUCGAUUGGAAGGCUUCAUAGAUGGAACCAAAUCAACACCUGAGGAAAAAUUACUACUCGCUAGAGCUGAUGGAUCUGCUCAAGAAAUUGAUAAGCCAGAAUAUCAAAACUGGAGAUCACAUGAUCAAACCUUACUUGGAUGGCUGUUAUCAGCAAUUAAUGAAGGUAAUCUUAGUCUUGUUAUUAAUUGUGUGAUGCAUGGAGAACCUUAGAGAAGAAGUUUGGAGUUCAAUCUGAGGCUAGAGUACUUCAGCUUAGAUAUGAGUUGAAUACAAUAAAGAAGGAGGCAUUAAGUAUUGAAGAUUAUUGUAUUAAGAUGAAAUCUAUAGCUGAUAAACUUGCUAGUGCUGGUAGUCUUAUAACAGAAAAAGAUUUGAUGUUAACAAUAUUAAAUGGAUUAGGAUUAGGCUAUCAUGAUAUAGCAACCUUCAUAGCUGGUUCUAAAAUGGAAUUUGAUGAUGCUUAUGCAUUGUUGUUAACACAUGAAACCAGACUUGAACAAGAACAGGAUGAUAAGAAUAUGUUUAAUGCAAACUAUGCCCAUGCUAAUACAUGUUAUCAUAGAGCUUUCUAUGGUCAAGCUAGAGGUAAUUUCAGAAGAGGUGAAUAUGUUGGUGGUAGUUUUGGUAAUAUUGGUAGUAGGAAUCAUGGAAUUAGAAAAGGAAAUUUUGGUCCACAAAGAAUGUUUUAUGGAAGUUUCAGGAGGGGAAAUGGCAGAGGACAGUUUCCUGGUUAAAAUAAUGCUCACAAUUUUUCUUCUCAAUCACCAAGGAAUAUGACUCCAUUCACUAGAAAUGGCUUUGUUGGAAUGAAUGGAUCAACAGGGUCUACUGGAAACAUAAAAGAAACUACUUGUCAGGUCUGUUUUAAAAUUGGUCAUACGGCUGACAUCUGCUGGCAUAGAUUUGUAGAAGAUUAUACUCCUACUCCAAGAAAUUUUAGUAAAGGAAAAGGACCAAGAUCUGCAUACUUUACUAAUUUUGAUGGUUUCAACUCACAUUCUAGCUGUGAAGAUUAUGAUUGUUUCAGCUAUAUGCCACCAAAUUUUCAUCCUACUUCUGGAGCUCAUCUUUACCCUGGUGUUGAUGCUUAUAAUCUUGGAGCUGCAAAUAUGGCAAAUUUUGAAGGAGCUGCUGAUGAUGGCUGGUAUUUGGAUAGUGGAGCCACUCACCACUUAACAAAUAAUAUGGAGAAUCUAUAGCUCAGAGAGGAGUAUAAAGGUAAUGAUUAGCUCAUCAUUAGUAAUGGUAAAGGAUUAUCUAUCUCUCAUGUUGGACAUGCUUUUCUGUCAUUUAGAGCUUUAAACUGUCAUUCUUCACAUAUUGUUAUAGCACUUAAAGACAUGUUUGUUCCUUCAAUCACUAAAAAUUUGUUAAGCAGUUCUAAACUCACCUAUGAUAAUUCUCUCUCUGUUGAAUUCUGUGGAAAUAUCUAUUUUGUAAAGGACAUGAAGGGACAAGUUCUUCUGCAAGGCCUUGCUGAGAAAGGUCUCUACAAACUGCUAUUGAAACCUAAGCCUAUUCUUCAUCACCUGCAUUUCAUCUAUCACAAUCUCAGAUAAAUUAGCCAGUCUCUAUGCUGUCAGUCUCAAAUGUGUCUUUUGUUAAUCAAAAUUGUUGUGCUUUUACUACAACUUGUAAUAACUCAUUUUCAAAUGCUUGUAAUCAAAAACCUGAUGAUUUGACUUUAUUGCAUAGAAGGUUUGGUCAUCCAAACUCAACAAUAUUGAUGCAUUUGCUUAAAUCCUGUAAGCAAUUUAAAGUCUCUUCUAAAGCUCUUUCAUCUUCUACUUAUUCUAUCUGUGAUGCUUGUCAAUUAGGAAAAACUCAUAAACUACAUUUUCUCACCACUGAAACUAAAAGUACACAAGUACUGGAACUAAUAUAUACUGAUAUUUAGGGGCCUUCACCUACUGUUUCUAGGAAUGGAUAUAAAUAUUAUAUCAGUUUUGUUGAUGACUACAGUAAAUACACUUGGGUUUAUCCUCUCAAGCUUAAGUCAGAUGGUUUUGCAGUCUUUAAACUCUUUAAACUCCAAGUAGAAAAUCAAUUCAGUAGUAAAGUCAAGAUGCUGCAAUUUGACUAGGGGGAGAAUAUAGAGUGUUCACUGAUUUCUUGAAUCAAAAUGGGAUCAUAUUUCGACAUUCAUGUCCAUAUACUCACCAUCAAAAUGGUCUGGUUGAGAGGAAGCUUAGACAUAUAGUAGAAUUGGGAUUAACAUUAUUAGCUCAAGCUAAUCUGCCCUUUAAAUUUUGGUGGGAUGUUAUUCACACUGUAGUUUAUCAUAUAAGUAGAUUGCCUACCCUUGUGUUAAAGUUUGUGUCUCCUUAUGAAAAAUUAUUCAACCACAAACCAGAUUACAGCUUCUUAAAAUGUUUUGGUUGCCUUUGUUAUCCAUAUUUGAGGAACUUCAACAAGCAUAAGUUUGAUUUUCAUACAAGAAAAUGCAUCUUUAUUGGAUACAACCCAUCUCAUAAAGGUUACAAAUGUUUGACAAGUUCAGGAAAGGUUCAUAUACUUAGACAUGUGAUUUUUUAUGAAACCAUAUUUCCUUACUUAAACAACAUCAUUUUUUCUUCUUCUGAAAACACAUCCUCAUCUGAGAUUCCAGUGUCAUCCUUUACUCAGCAACAAAUUUUUCAUUUAUUAACACUUUCUAUCCCUAAUAGCAGUCUUGAAGAAAAUUUCUCAGCAGACUCAGCAAGAAAUGAACAGGUAUCUUCAUCAUCUUUACAUACAGACAUUUUACAUCAUGAGCUACCUAAUCAUUCUUUGACAGAAUCUUUAUCACCCCACAUAUCUUCUCAAAAUCUAGAAUCAAUUCAGCCACAAUUUGAACCACAAAUUAUCAUUCAACAACCAUAAUCUCAGCAUAUUCCUGAUGCCUCAAACACAAGCCUGACUCAGAAACCUUCUCAGAAAAUGGUUACCAGAUCAAAAUCUGGUAUCUUCAAACCAAAAAUAUAUACAACAACUUUAAUCAAUAAAUAACUUGAUACAGAUCAAGAAGCUCUUAGUGAUUAGAAUUGGCAUCAAGCCAUGAGAGAUGAGUAUGAGGCUUUAAUCAGGAAUAAGACUUGGUCAUUAGUUUCAUCUUCAGCUGAACACAAAGUUGUAGGCAACAAGUGGGUGUUUAGAGUAAAACAAAAUAGUGAUGGAAGCAUAGUUAAGUAUAAAGCUCGGUUAGUUGCAAAAGGUUUUCAACAAACUGAAGGUGUGGAUUACUUUGAAACAUUCAGUCCUGUUGUGAAAUCUUCUACAGUGAGAAUUAUAUUGAGUUUAGCUGCAAUGCAUAAAUGGACAAUUAGACAAGUGGAUGUAAAUAAUGCAUUUUUAAAUGGAGAGUUGACUGAAGAUGUUUAUAUGUGUCAACUUGAGGGGUUUGUUGAUCUGCAGAAGCCCAACUAUGUGUGCAAAUUAAAAAAGGCUUUAUAUGGCUUAAAACAAGCUCCAAGAGCUUGGUAUGAUAAGUUGAGAGAUAGUCUGGUUACCAAGUGGGGAUUCAGAAAAUCAAGAGCUAAUACAUCCUUGUUCUGUAAAGGAAAAUAGGGCUUAAUAAUUUUCCUUUUGAUAUAUGUCAAUGACAUAAUGAUCACAAGUCCUAAUAGUGCUGAAUUAGAGCAAUUUAUCUUGGAAUUCAGUAAAGUAUUUGCUCUAAAAGACUUGGGGAAACUGUCAUGUUUCCCUGGCAUAGAAGUUUCUGAUGUUGCAGAGGAUAUUUAUCUGUCUCAGAGGAAAUAUAUCAGGGAUUUGUUGAGUAAAGCUGAUAUGUUAGAAUGCAAAGAGUGUAACACUUCAAUGGUGACAGGAGUAAAGCUCCAGAAGGAAGCUAAGGGUCAUUUGGGCUAGUAUGUUGAAGAUCCUACUGGUUACAGAAGUCUUGUUGGGGGGUUGCAGUAUUUAGUUCUAACGAGACCAGAAAUAACUUAUGCAGUAAACAAGCUAAGUCAGUAUGUGUCAGCACCUACACUUCAACAUGUCAUUGCCUGCAAAAGAGUUCUUAGAUAUCUAAAGGAGACUGAAAAUUAUGGUUUAAAGUUUUCAACAGAAGGAGAAAUGAAGCUCUCAAGUUACACUGAUGCAGAUUGGUCUUUUGAUAUUGAUGAUAGGAAAUCAACAGGUGCUUAAUGCAAUUAUUUGGGAAGUAACUUGAUAUCUUGGUCAUCCAAGAAACAGUCAGUGGUUGCUAGGUCCAGUGCAGAGUGUGAGUACAGAGCCCUUGCAACUGCAAGUGCAAAAAUCUCAUGGAUUCAGUCAUUAUUUGGUGAACUUGGUAUUGAAUGUGUUUCUCUUCCCACGAUUUUGUGUGAUAAUGUCAGUGCAAUAGAACUAGCUAAGAACCCUAUUUAUCAUUCAAGAACAAAGCAUAUUAAAUUAGACAUGCACUUCAUUAGAGAUAAAGUCCUAACUAAAGAACUGGAAAUCAGGUACAUUCCCAGUAAAGAGCAUAUUGCAGACAUCUUGACUAAGCCUCUCACUUUUAUUCAUUUCAAUUAUUUUCGAGCCAAACUCAAUGUGCAAGCAUGCCCCUUAAGUUUGAGGGGGGAUGUUAAGGAAGCUCACGUUGCAGUCAAAAGGAGCAGCUCAGCUGGCACGUGAGAUCUAAAGCCAAAUCAGCAGAGUCUGUUAAGAAGCUAUGCCAGCUCAGCAAGUUUGUUGAAGCAUGCUUUUCAUUCUGUUUUGUAGUUAAACUUACUUAAUUAGUUUAGCUCUCUUGUUUUAGCUUGGUAUAUAAACUGAUGUAGAUCUGCUUUUCAUUGUUAAUCGAGAAAUGAAAUAAAAGAAAAACUCCAGAAUAUUCUUUUCAUUUUCUUAGUUCCCAAACACAUUUUACAGUUAUACAUUUAACUUUCAAACAUUGUUCAACAUCGACAAGAAAAGAUUUUGAAUCUUUUGCAUAAUAUGGAUGUAUAUAAUAAGUUCAUAUCUCCCCAGCUAAUUGAUGAAUCUACUAAGGACAACAUCUUGCAUUUGGCAACAAAGUUAGCACUUCCAGCUCAUUUAAGAAUUAUGCUUGGGGUAGCUCUAAAAAUGCAAAGGGAGGUGCAGUGAUUCAAGGUUUUAGCUCCUGUUAAAACACAUAAAGUAUCCAUGUUGCGUACUCUUCCAAUUAGUAACAUUAUUCCUUGACAAUUUUGAUAUAUGCUCUCGUAGGUGGAGAAAUUAGUGCACCAUUUUCUUAAGAAAGUGCAAAACAUUGAUGGAAAAACAGCCCAGGAUAUAUUCAUAGAGCAACAUAAAGAUUUUCUUGAGAAUUCAGAGAAAUGGAUGAAGUAUACAUCAAAUUCUUGCAUGGUUGUCACCGCUCUCAUUGCUACUAUGAUGUUUGCAACAGCUUGUACUGUGCCUGGAGGAAACAUUAAAAGUGGCAACCCAAUUUUCUUGAGAGAUAAGUUAUUCAUGGUGUUUGCUAUCUCAUAUGCACUCGGGUUUAUUUUCACUUCUACACCACUUUUGGUGUUCGUAUCUAUCCAAAUUGCGCAGUAUGCAGAAAAAGAUUGUUGGGAUUAUAUGCUCUUUUGAACCAUAUUAAUUUAUUUUCUGAUUAAUAAAAUAUUUGAGACAUUUUCAAUUGCAUAAAUAUAUAUUGAUAAGGUCCGUUUAAUCAUAUUAUAUGUAUUUAUGUGAUCAUCAUAUGGAUUCAUAGAAGACAUAAAUACAAGUUAUCUUAUGAUUAAAUAAAUUUAGUUCACAGUUGAUAAAUAGAGUUGGGCACUCUAUUUAUGUUUAGACUGCAGUAAAUUCAUUGAAUAAUUUGUCUUAAUCAUAUAUGAAUCUACUGAUGUAGUUUGACUACAUUGAUCUAGAUCACAUAUGAGAUUUAAUUAAUCUUGAAAUGACUAUCUGACUUAUUACAUCUCAUAGGCAUUGAUUUUACUGUAAUCUUAAUCUUGAGUUAGUUAUGAUUUCAUGAUUGUAAUUGUUAUUCCAUUUGAGUUACCAAUAGGCACGACACACACUUGCGGUCAAAAUUACCCGGUAUCUUGGUGGGAGCAAUUAUGAGUAUUGGAGUUAUAGAUUAACAAUAUAGAAUUUGUACAACACAUCUCUUGAUGGGUUUUUGACACUUAAUCAUAGAAUUCUUUUGCCAGAGUGUGUCAACAUAUUUAGUAUGUUGAAAAUGAUCAUUAGAGAAAACCAGUAAGUAUCAAGGAACAAGAUGUAAUUAAAUCGAUUGGACAGUUGAGAUGUCGAUUUAAUUAACGAUAUGGUACAAAGGAUUAUGCAGUAAAGAAAUCAAUGUGGCAUGGGUCGAAUUAUUAUUCGAGUACACUAUCCUAGAUAGCAUACAAUUAUGGAGGUCAAUUUCAAUCUUUUAGUGGAGUAGAUUUGAAAUUAAAUAAUUGGACUAGUUUAAUUACAGCCUAAUUAUUGUAGGCAUUAUUGUAUGUACCCAUAUGAUCCCUGAGUUAGCUCAUUUAAUUAACUGUGCCGCUACUGAAUUAAUAAGCAAGAUAACUAGCUAUUUAGGUUAAAAGCCUAAAUAUAUUAUUUAGUGGGAGGCUCCAUUAAUAUGCUUGAGUGUAAGGGGCCUUGUGUUAUUUUAUAAGGUGGGCCCCUAUAACACAAGAACAAGUACCGUGACUUUUGUUUUAAUUAUUUUUAAUUUAAAUCAAGUGGGAUUUAAUAGAAUUAAAAAAUAAAUAAAUAUGGAGCCUAGGAUUUCCACUAAAUAGAGAUAUAAAAAGGCUUAUUUUCUCCUAAAAGAGAUAGAGCAGCCACUUUAUACAGAUCAGAGAAAAAAUAUUUCUCUCCAAUUUUGAGAGAAAAAUUUUCUCUUGCUAGUUGCUUAUAGUGGUGAUAAAGGCGCCUACAUGUCAAGUGCAGAUCAAACCUGAGUCAUAAUCUAGAAGAUCAGUGGUGACGGAUCGUGAUCUAAUAGGCGUGGUGGUGACAGAUCAUGAUCUAAUAGGAGUGGUGGUGACAGAUCGUGAUCUGAGAGUCUAAAUCACUUCAGCGGAAAAAGCAAAGAUUGUUCAUCUUCUCUGAUUUUCAAGGUACGAUUUCUAGAUUACGUAUUCCUAUAUAUUGUAUGAGAUCAGUCCUAAAAGUUUUUAUAAAAAUUUUAAAAAAUUGAUUUUUCUCUAACAAAGAUUUCGUCGAGUCACUGCAAAAAAAGUUAAUAAUAGGUCUUGCUUCUCUCUUCAUCUCUUCUAUAGUGAACAUGAUGAUAUCUUUUGUGGCAACUUUUUCAAUUGUUCUCAUGAUAGAUCGAAAUGGUUAACCAUUCCUAUCCUAGCGUCUGUCCCUCUGACCAUACAUGCAUUACUGCAGCUGCCAUUAUUUGUUCAAAUGUAUCAAUCGACGUAUGGAUCCGACAUCUUUCGAUGUCUUUAGAUUUAGUACUUCUUGUAUAUUUUAGUAAUGUGAGUCCCGAUCCUAUUGUGGAUUCUUCAUGAACGAUGUUGUAUUGAAGUUUUCAUAAAGUUUUGUGUUUCACAUUGUUACUUGGGAUGUGCUACCUCAUUUGUCGUUGAAAUCCAAGCUAUAAUUUAAUUAAUUUUCUGUGGAAUCUGUGCUAUAAUUUAUCCGACAUAAGAAUUAAUGCAGUGGGGUAUUGAGAAAUUUAGGGGGACUAAACGGCACAAAACUAAAACUAUUUACUUGAGAGAAAAUUUUGUUAAAUUGAAGGACUUUGUUGAUAUUUUAUAAGAGACAUUACAACACUCACGAGUCACUCUUCUUUCUCUCUUCUAACUAUUCACUCUUCACUUAAUUUCCACAACAAAGAGCUUAAGGGUAUUUAUAAUAACCUAGAACUAAUAAAAAUCACACAAAUAUUAAAUUAAAAAAUUUGACAACCCCAUUUUACAAAUAUCUCUAAAUAUUCAACAAAUAUCCAAAUUUAUAUAUUUCUACCACUAUUAGAUAUUUUUAUCUUCGAAAUAUCUUUCAUUCUCUAUACAAUUCUUGAAAUCUUCCAUGCAUUAGGCUUUGAACUUGGGCUUGGACAAAUGUAAUUGGAUUAUAUCAUAAAAUUGGUGUUGGACUUUUAAUACUUCUCCUCAACACCAACUUUCAUCCUUUAAUCCAUAUUGAGUUACUGGCGGAACUCUUUAGACUUCCCCGGUACUGAAACUUUUUGUAAAUAAGUCCGCAACUUAAUUGUCCAUCUUGACUCACCGCGUUUUAACUUCAUCUUGCAACACCUUUUCUCUGAUGAAAUGAUAGUGCACCUCUACAUGCUUAGUUCUUGCAUGGAAAAUUGGAUUUUCCAUCAAGUUAAUCACCGAUUGAUUAUUGCAAUACAAUGGUUCUAUGUAAUCUACAAGUUGGUGUAGAUCCUUCAUCAAUUGUAUUAACUAAAUAUUUUCUUGAGCUGCCAUCACUAUAUUUGACUACAAUAUACAAUUUUCAUUGAAAUAGGUCUUAAAACAUAAUAGUGUAUGGUAAAAACUUUUAAACUUUAAAUAAAAAAAACUAGCAUUUAAAAAGGAAUAAAUGAUAUUGUGCAUAAUAAUCAUGAAAAUCAUAUCAAUAGAGAAUGUAUAUACAUAAUUAUAAAGUUGUCAAUGAACAAGUACCCAAAGAAAUAACCUUCCAUACCCAAACUUAUAUGGGCAAUGCAACAAAUGUGCGAAUAUAGCGUUUACAAUUUGGAUUAGAGUGAGAAUCCUAAGGAGUAGGAAUUCUGGGAUUGGGAGUGGGAGUAAGAGCAAGUUGUUUACUUACACUGAAAUGGGAGUAUGGAAUCGGAAUCAAAAUCCAAUUUAUGUGUUUACUUUGUCUUGUAUUGAGAGUCAAUGCUUUCGAAUUAUAAUUUUAUCAUUAUGUAAAGAAUUAUAGUUUUUAAUUAUCAAAUUAAUAAACUAUAUUUUCAAAAAUAAAAUAUUUAUUUUAUUAUAUUUGCAAAUUAAUGGUAAUUAUUAAUAUUCUUAAUUAUAUAAAUUAAAAAUUACUGAUAAGAGCAAUAAAAAUGAAACAUUAUUAUUAAUAAUAUAGUACGAAAUUAAUAUUUUCUUAGAAUAAACUAUUUGUUGUUAUUAAUUAUUAAUUUUAAAUAAAUAAAAUAAUAUUAUAUUUUCAAAAAAAGAUAGUAUAUAGUUAUAUUAUUAAUUCUCUAUGAACAUAAUAACAAUAUUUUUAAGUAAUUCUAACUUAGAAUCAAUAAAAAUUAUUAUUUUUAACUAAAUAUAAUAAGGUUAUAGUUAAAUAAGUUUAAUAUUAUUAUUUUAAAUAAUAAUAAUUUUUAAAAUAAUAUAAUAAUAUUAUUUAAAUAAAUAUAAUAUUAUUUAUUUUGUUUUAUUAAAUAUAAUUAUACUAAAUUUAAUAAAAUAAGAAUAAAAAAUGAGUGGGAAUCCCCCUCCCUACUCCUCAAAAGGUGGGCUCCACGAAGUGAGAUUCCCACUCCUCUUUUAAAAUAUGUAAGUAAAUAUUAGAAUAUGAGGAAUCCACACUCUUCAAUUCUACUCCAGUAAGUAAACAUAAUAUAAAAGUGUAUUGUUAUGCUUGGAGCUACAACGGAUAGACCAAUAACGUGCCAUUUCAUAUAUCUAAUCAUAUCUUAUCAUACUGCAUGGAUAAAAUAGCCUCCAAAAGGCAAAAGGCCUUGAGCACAUGGCCUAAAGCACUAUGUGUACUCAGACAAGCUUAAAAAGCCUUUAUCUCAAUUGCAUCCCUAUAGUGUAUCUCUGUAACUAAAUUUAUGUAAUUGUAUCUCUAUUCUCAUCUAUGUACUUGGAGGGGAAGGGUAAUGAUUUUGAAAAUAAACUUUUAUACACAUGGAAAGAAACAUUUUAAACAUACUUUAAGUCUACAUUCCUUUUUAUUAAAAUACUCAUGCAUUUAUUAUUAAAAAAUCCAUCAUAUCCAUUAAUAAAAAAUUCAAUAUGUAAAUGAAAAACUAUUUCUAUAAAGACUAAAAUCAAAGCAUCAAACAUUACUUUGUAGACAUAAUUUACUUUACUCGAAUUCAAAUUGUAAUAAAAAUAUUCAAGAUAAGUUUAGUGUAUUCCAUUCAUAAAGACUAUGCUUAAGCUUGACUAUCUUUGAUGCCCACUAAUUGACUCACGUUCGAGGCUCCUGCUAAAUCAAGCAAAUGACAUAAUUACUUCUCAAACAUGAGAAAAUACAACAAACUUUAUGCGACAUAGCUACAAUGGAUAUUUACCGUAGAACUUAUAAGUCUGAAUCCAUACUUGUAAACCCAAAAUUACUACAAUAGCCUCAAGCAAUAAAUUAUAUCUUAUGCUUAAAAUUCCAUAUUUCACCUCAAUAAUUGAAUUUCCAUAUAUUAUAAUACUAAUAAAUCAUACAUAUUAUCAGCAAUCUCAUUACUAACCAUAAAGCACCUAAAUAUAAUAUAAAAUUGUAAGCUAAUUACAUACUUGGUGUGUUGUGAGUUGUCAAUAUGCAAGUGUACACAACAAGUAACAUAAUGAGGAGUAUCAAGAUCAUCUUAUAAGAGAUUGAUGUUAUAGGAAUUGCUAUAGCAAUUUUAACAGUGCAAUUUUAAUAACCUAAAUAAAACAAAAUAAAUGAUGAGAUGAGAAAUCUACUAAAAUUGACAAUGCAAUAAAUAAAAUGUAAUAUAGAAAAUGUAAAGUCGAAUGCAAAGAUAUACUCAAUGGCAAAGGGGUAGUUGGGUUCUAAACUCACUUACUAGUUAAGACACAAUUGCUACAACAUCUACUAUAGCAUUGGACAGAAUCUCUAAUGCGUCCUCAGCUGUCUUAUUUUGGAUAUCUUAUAUCUAUAUGCAAAGUAACAAUUACUAGUUGUUAAACUAACAUCAGAUAUAACAUUAUACAUUUCAGACUUUAUUUGCCUUACAAGGUGAAUCUUUACGUCUAAUUCUUCACUAAUCUUAGAUUAAGUAUGGCAAUAUUCAAAUCGAGAUUAACUCAACUUGGGAGACCUAAUCUAAAACCAUGUAUUGUCUUAAUUUAUUAUAUUAAGUCAAACCUUUUUUAGGCUUCUUCUUAACUAGUAUCCACUAAAUGAAUAGUCAACCAAAAUAGGAAAUUGCAAUAAGUAAAAUUAAAACAAAGUGCUAUAGCAGAUUCUGAGCAAUAUACAUAUGUGAGUCAAAUAACCAUUAAGUUUAUUAAAAACCCAACUAACUUGAGGUUUAGCUCAUGAUGAGCAUUAAAACAGUAACAACAUAAGUGUUUGCCAUUAAAUACAUCAUUAAAGAGAGAAAAAACAAUCAAAUACAAUGAAAAGGUGAGAUACAAAAGACUCCCAAAUGUCACACUUGUUAUCUCUCAUUCUUCUCUAUGAAAAUUCCCUCUGUUGCAUCUCUAAAAUCUCUCUUAUUGUAUUCUUCUUGCCUCUGUCAGUCGUGUCCUCUAUUUCCUUAAAAUGUGCCCUUUAAUAUAUUGGGAUUAGGGCAACCAAAAAGCAUGAGGAGACUUGUUCUUUCUUGGCAUCGUAGGACCACACUCCCCNNNNNNNNNNNNNNNNNNNNNNNNNNNNNNNNNNNNNNNNNNNNNNNNNNNNNNNNNNNNNNNNNNNNNNNNNNNNNNNNNNNNNNNNNNNNNNNNNNNNNNNNNNNNNNNNNNNNNNNNNNNNNNNNNNNNNNNNNNNNNNNNNNNNNNNNNNNNNNNNNNNNNNNNNNNNNNNNNNNNNNNNNNNNNNNNNNNNNNNNNNNNNNNNNNNNNNNNNNNNNNNNNNNNNNNNNNNNNNNNNNNNNNNNNNNNNNNNNNNNNNNNNNNNNNNNNNNNNNNNNNNNNNNNNNNNNNNNNNNNNNNNNNNNNNNNNNNNNNNNNNNNNNNNNNNNNNNNNNNNNNNNNNNNNNNNNNNNNNNNNNNNNNNNNNNNNNNNNNNNNNNNNNNNNNNNNNNNNNNNNNNNNNNNNNNNNNNNNNNNNNNNNNNNNNNNNNNNNNNNNNNNNNNNNNNNNNNNNNNNNNNNNNNNNNNNNNNNNNNNNNNNNNNNNNNNNNNNNNNNNNNNNNNNNNNNNNNNNNNNNNNNNNNNNNNNNNNNNNNNNNNNNNNNNNNNNNNNNNNNNNNNNNNNNNNNNNNNNNNNNNNNNNNNNNNNNNNNNNNNNNNNNNNNNNNNNNNNNNNNNNNNNNNNNNNNNNNNNNNNNNNNNNNNNNNNNNNNNNNNNNNNNNNNNNNNNNNNNNNNNNNNNNNNNNNNNNNNNNNNNNNNNNNNNNNNNNNNNNNNNNNNNNNNNNNNNNNNNNNNNNNNNNNNNNNNNNNNNNNNNNNNNNNNNNNNNNNNNNNNNNNNNNNNNNNNNNNNNNNNNNNNNNNNNNNNNNNNNNNNNNNNNNNNNNNNNNNNNNNNNNNNNNNNNNNNNNNNNNNNNNNNNNNNNNNNNNNNNNNNNNNNNNNNNNNNGCUGGACCAUCAGCCGCCGGCUAGGGAGGGGCACUGCAUCCAUGAUAAAAAUUCAUCAUUUACUCUUUAAAUAGGGCUGAGUGAAGAGUAUAAAUCCAAUAAUAACUCUCAUUUCAGAGAGUUAUCAAUACUGAAUCAGAAAAAUGCAGAAGUCUUCUAAUCUACAAGAUAAAUUCCUUUAUUCUUCAACUUCGAUCAUUUCAAAAUAGUUCCUAUCAUUAUAUCCCCCAUUUGGAUGAAAUCUAAUCGUAUUAUAACAUUUAAGCUCAAACCAAUUUUUUUUCUUAGUCACUAGGCGAAGCGCACCUUUGGUACUUUAGUAGAGGGAAUUGUUUGAUAAGGUAAUUGGUAAAUUUAUUACAUUAAUUAGCAUUGAUAACUUUUUUUUUUGUUUUUUAACUAUCUAUUUAUAUUUUACAAUAGAUAUAAGUUCGCAUAACUCUGUUUUGGUCAUUUAAAUAUGGAUAUGAACUUUUAUGGCUAAUUUAUGAAACGUACAUGAUAGAUUAUUUGAUAAAUGAUUACGUAAUAAUCUAAAACUAUGAAAAAUCUUACCAAAUUAUUUAUAAAACUGAUUAUUUGAGGAUUUUGAUUAUUUGGGAAACUAAAUAUACUCAUAAAAUAUAGAAAUCGUAUUUUCUUAGUAGGAAAUACAACUUGUUUGCUUGAUUUAUACCAUUCUCACUUUAAACACCCUUUCUCUCCCUAUUUACACUUCUCACUCUUCAUUUCAUCUUCAAUAGUUGUUUCCAAAAUAAGAUUCUAACCAAAUAACCCAAGAGGAGGGGUGUGAAUUGGGGUUUUUAAAAUUUUCUCCAAUAGCACACAAAUCAACUACUCCAGCCACCAAAAUCCAAUAAUAAUAAUAAUAGCAACAACUAAUAUAAAGAUAUAAGGGUAGAGAAAAUAAAUACAAUGAAUUUUAUGCGGUUCGACAAACUCGCCUACAUCUAUGCCUCCAAACAAUUCAAGCUUGAGGAUUCAACUAACCAAGUCAUAUAUUCCACGGUUUUCAACAAUGGAUGCAAUUGACUUCAAAGGUAUCAAUAAACCUUUACAAUCUUGAGGUGAUCCCACACCUCUUUACCCAACUGUUUUCCGCGCUUGCAACUUGUCAAUCUUACAAAUAGAGAUGAUUCUUAUAAGAUCAAACUCCUCGCAAGAGUAUAUGAGCAAGUUAUAGUUCAAUAAUGAAUUAUAGUAUGUAAAUAAAAAAAUGAAAGUGGAAAAGUACGCUUAGAAUGAUCGAGUUUUAGCUUGGAAAAAAGUUAUGAAUCGAGUUAGAGUUAGCUUUUUAUAGAUGGAUCAAUAAACUUGCCAUAACUCUCUCAAAAUAAGAUGCUAUAUGCACUAUUGGAUCACCAGUAAAUUUGAAGCGAAUAGCCGCUUGCUGACGUGACAUGUUACCUUUGAAGUGAUUUGAAAAUUUUAAGUCUAAUUAAAUAAACAGAUAGCCAUUUCAAAGAUAGAAUGUAACACAUUGUUAAUGGAUAACUGCUAACUGGGAGAAGGAGCACUGCUAAAUUUGACUUCUUAAUUUUUCAAAUUUCACACUUUGGCCUAAAACUUUAUAAACUUUCAAAUUAGAACAAAAAUGUUAUAAAACGUUUCAAAAAGGUUCUUGUCUAGAAUUUCAACAAUACUUGUAUAAUUUCAUCAUUUCUAAAACUCUUCAAAUUACUCCUUAUAAUUGAAAACAAACCUUUUGAUAAAAACACUUUCCAUUUUUCUUCAAGUAUAGAAACUUUAUAAUAUGAAAACAAUGAUAGAUUAAAUAUCAUGAUCAUGAAAAUAACUAGAGUUUUUAAAUGCUUAAUCAUGCACACAUUUAAUCAUACCAGUUUUAUAAGAAAUGUGACAAGAAAUAUCACUUAAGCUAGUAACCUUGAUGCCUUCCUUGACUUGAUGAGUUAUGUCCAUUGAAUACUUUAAACUUUAUCUCACAUGGAUGAUUUUUGUCCUUUAAGAGCUAGUGAGAUUGAAAGAAUAUGUUUUCUAUUUUAUCCUUGACAUGUUUUAUUGUCAUAAAAAUGAAGGUUUGUAUCACGUUUAGGUCAAUUGAAAUUUUAAACUGAAACAACUCCAACGGACUCAUUAAAUUAAGAUUUUCCAAGAAUAUCCCAAAUGUUUCAUGAAUCCAAACCAUAAGCAUUUUCCCCCGAUUCUUUCUUGCUUUACCCAUGAGCUUGCAAAUGGAAAAUGCUUUUCUUUUUACUUUUUUUUUUUAAAUUAGCUUAAUAUCAUAAAAAAUGGCUGAUGGGCUUGGGUUUUAAAAUUAAUAGUUUCGGCUUUGAAUUUGUUUAAGCCCAACACCAAUUAACUUAUAUAUUCAUAAGUUAUUAUAAUAAUAACUUAUAUAAAUAUGAUCAUAAGCGAAUGUGCUACACUUAAUUGUACUUAGUGGCACUAACAGCAGAGCAUUACCAAAUUUCUUAGAUUUAGUGCAUUACUUCAGUUAUAAUGUUCUUGGGUAUCCUUACUUCUCGCUAUGCAGAAGAAGAUUUUCUUGUGUCGUUACCAAGGAACUUAAUUAUUGGCCUCGUCACCUUGUUCUUUUCUAUUGCGAGCAUGAUGGUAGCCUUUGGUGCAACUGUUCACGUAUCUCUUUACCACAAAUGGAAUUUGGUGUUUAUUCCAAUUGCCUUUGUUGGAUUUGUCCCUGUCACCUUGUUUGCAUUGUUGCAAUUUCCUCUUUUGCUUGAUAUGUACUCGUCUAGUUAUGGUCACGACAUAUUUAUACAAAUCAGCUGGCCACAACAUUGUGCUAAAGGAAAUUACAAAAAUAGAGCUAUAAAAGAUGAUUAAAUGGGUGUAAUGUACCACUGAGUAAUUUCUUGUUGAUUUUUCAUGAUGCUUGUUCUAUAAUCCUUGACGAGUGUUUAGAACUGUGUACUUAAAUUUUGAUUGAAGAACUGAAGCGUAAAAUAGUUCUUCUGUCUGUUUUGAUCUCACAUUAGGUUCUUAUUGAUCUUUGCUGCUUAAUGUAAUAUUUGGAUUUGAUCUUUAGUUAUAUUCUUGGUUGAAGAAGGUCCACAAGAUCAACAUUUUUUAUCCGCCAAAGGACAUAUAUGAUUCUUUUAGUGGAUGAAAAACUAGAGAAACAAAACAAUUUUGAUUCUUGUUAUUCAAUAGUGCUCAAAGGUCCAAUCUGUCAACAUUUUGAAUGAUUUAAAAAAGUAAUAUAGUCAGAUGCAAUAUUUUCGGGAUCGAUCAUGCAUCUAUAUUUCUCAUUCCAUAAUAUGUCAAUGCCCCACCGAAAAGGGCAAAGAAAAGAAGAAAGAAGACAAAAGAGGAAGAAGAAAAAAAGAAAGAAAAAGAAGAAAAAAUGGGUGCCGGACCGAAGAAGGAAAAGGAAAAAAAAUAAUAACAAUAAAAUAAUAGUGCACAAUAGCUAAAUUUUGGCUAUAAAAGGGUGGCUCUCCUCAUUUGUAAAUCAUCGAAUUCUUUAGUUCUUUUUCUUAUUUAGAGAGCGAUUUUGGAGUCUAGUGAUUUGAGAGUUUGAGUGAAUUGGGGUUUUGGAUAGUAAGCUAAAAUACUAAAAUACUUGUAACUUCUUUUCACUAGUAAAAUAUUUUCCUUCUAUCUUCACCCGUGGACGUAGGCUAAAAGCUGAACCACGUAAUUUCUGGUGUUCCUAUGUGAUUUUGUGUCUCAUUAUUUCUCAAUUUCACUUUAGCUGUAUGUCUGCUUCACCCAUCAAUCUCCCAACAGUGGUAUCAGAGCUAUUGGUUGUAUUUUUUGGAGUCGAGUACUAUUCAUGUAUAUGGUAUGUUCAUAUAUACGGUAAUAUUCACGAGAAACGGUGGGAGCAAUCCAAGAAUUUUGUGGUGCAAAGCAAGGAAUAAUGGUGUGAGUAAACCAACUGUGUGGUUUUGUACAUGUCUAGGAAAGUUGUCACAAAGGCGAUAAGAGCCUAAAGAGUCUGGGUUUUAAGUGAGAUCGUUGUGACCCCUCCAGUCUUUCCUGGGAACUUUUCUGGUGUGCAUUCUCACACAUACUCACAACUAUUCAAGGUGGUACACUAGCUUGUGUGCGGUAUUUAUUAAUAAAAUGGCGGCAAACUAUGAAAUUGAGAAGUUCAAUGGGAAUAAUUUUCUCGUUGUGGAAUAUGAAGAUGUAGGCAAUUUUGAGGAAAAACAAUUGCUUAGCAGCAAUUGGAGAAAGGCCCAUAGAGAUAACUAAUGAUGACAAGUGGAUGAGAUGGACGGCAAUGCAAUUGUUGGUCUACACUUAGCACUUGCAAACGGGAUGUUAUCUAGUGUGGAGGAGAAAAAGACAAUGAAGGAAAUGUGGGAUACUCUCACAAAAUUGUACGAGGCCAAGUCACUACAUAACAGAAUCUUCUUGAAAAGGAAAUUCUAUACUCUUCGAAUGGCGGAAUCUACAUUGGUGACCGACCACAUCAACACCUUUAAGACUCUAUCAUCACAACUUACAAUGUUGUGUCAUAAAAUAAAGGAAAAUGAACGUGUAGAGCUUCUACUUCAAAGUCUAUUAGAUUCGUAUGAUUAACUCAUCAUUAACCUGACAAACAACAAUCCAACAGACAUUUUAGUUUUUGACGAUGUUGCAGUCUCCGUAUUAAAUGAAGAGAGCAGGUGGAAAAGUAAGGAAGACAGCCAAGCAAGUUCGCAACAAGCAGAAGCGCUAUAAGUGACGAGAGAGAGAUCAAUGGAACGUGGCCCCAGUAUGAGUCACAAUCAUGGUAGAUCAAAAUCCAUAAGUAAGAAGAAUGUCAAGUGCUACAAUUGUGGUAAGAAAGGGCAUGUCAAGAAAGAGUGUUAGAACAACCAAAAGAGAAGAGAGGGAAAAUAAUCUGAGUUAUCAAAUGCCCAGGGUUGUGUAGCAAGUACUUUGGAUGAUGGCGAGAUUAUCUACAGCGAGGCAACAACUAUUUCAAAAGGCAGAAAAUGGCUAUCUGACGUUUGCCUCAUAGACUCAUGAGCUACCUAGCACCUGACCUUUUGGAGAGAAUGGUUCCAUACAUAUGAACCUAUUUCAGGAGGAUCUGUAUAUAUGGGAGAUGAUCAUGCCUUGGAGAUCGCUGGUAUUGGUACCAUCAAAAUCAAAAUGUUUGAUGGUACCAUUCACAUAAUUAAGGAGAUACGACAUGUUAAAGGCCUGAAGAAGAAUCUAUUGUCUCUAGGAGAAAGAGACAGUCAUGGGUGCAAAACUCAUGUUGAAAAUGGGACCAUGAAAAUUGCUAGAGGCACGCUUGUAUCGAUGAAGGCAGAAAAGAUCAGUGCUAAUUUAUUUAUGCUUAAAGGAGAAACAUUACAAGAAGCUAAUGCGUGUGUCGCAUCAAAUGGAGAAAAAUCAAUGAUGAUAUGGCAUCUCAAACUUGGUCACAUGUCAGAGUAAGGUUUGAAGAUUCUCUCUUAGCAAAAAUUGCUUCCAGGGCUCAAAUUGGUAAGCUUACCAUUUUGCGAGUAUUGUAUUACAAGUAAGCAGUAUAGAUUAAAAUUCAAUAGAUCUAUUGCUAUAAGUAAAUGCAUUCUAGAAUUAGUUCACUCUGAUGUUUGAGAAUCACCAGACAUAUUCAUGGGAUGUGCAAAGUACAUGGUAACUUUCAUUGAUAAUUAUUCCAUGAGAUGUUGGGUGUAUCCAAUUAAGAAAAAGUCAGAUGUCUUUCAAGUGUUUAAAGAAUACAAAGCACGAGUGGAACUUGAAUCCGGUAAAAAGAUCAAGUGUUUGAGGACAGAUAAUGGUGAAGAGUAUAGAGACGGUGAGUUUCUUGCUUUCUGUAAGUAAGAAGGGAUUUAGAGGCAGUUCAUGGUAGCAUACACUCUUCAAUAAAAUGGAGUGGCAGAGCGGAUGAACAGGACUCUUACAGAAAUGAUAAGAGCUAUGUUGGGGACUGUUGGUUUACCCAUUUCAUUCUAGGCAAAAGCAGCCAAAACUGCCGGUUAUUUAGUAAAUCGGUCGCCAUCUAUAGCUAUUGGGCUGAAGACAUCGAUGGAGAUGUGGACUGAAAAACCAGCUGACUACUCCUACCUACAUGCAUUUAAAAAUCCUGUGUACGUGAUGUACAAUGCCCAAGAAAGAACAAAGUUAGAUCCAAAAUAUAGGAGGUGUAUCUUCUUGGGGUAUGCUGAUGGAGUAAAGGGGUAUCGUCUGUGGGACCUCACUGCCCACAAGAUUGUCAUCAGCAUAGAUGUUAUCUUUGUAGAAGAUCAACUGCAAAGGAGAGAUGAGGAUGAUAGCACUGUAAAAGAAAAUUUAGAGACUGUACCAAUAAAUGUGAAAAAUAAUCCAGAAAAAGAAGAAUCAAAUUCUUCUGAAGCAGCACCAGAGAACGAGGAACAAGAACCAGUCAAGUCUGAGGCUUUGGAAGUUCGUCGGUCAACUAGUGAGAGACGACCACCAACAUGGCACUCGGAGUAUGUCACAGAGAUCAAUGUUACUUACUAUCUUCUAACAGAGCAUGGAGAGCCAUUAACUUUCCAUGAAACUUUAAAUAGCUCAGAUGUUACUUUGUGGAUGACAGUAAUUGACACGACCUGCCCCGACCUACAUGUCUGAUUUGAGGUGAAUUGUGCAGACUAAUAACUAAAACUUGAGGCGCAAAUUUAAUUCAUGAAAAUAUGUAUCUAAUAUGGCAUUUCCUAUAAACACAUAACCACCUCUGUGCCUUUUCUGAAAUCAUAAAUGUAUUCAAAACUUGCAUAACUUAUGUCUCAUUGUACAUACUGACAUUACAUGUAUAUUUACAUAUAAAACAUAAGCAACAUAAACGUGCUCAAAAUGCAAGACAUACAGCAAUGCGUCUCGUGGCCCAACCUCAAUUAACUAGAACUUAUCUGCACGAAAUCUUACAGAAUCUUGGGAGAAAAGGAGUAAAUAGGAAAAUAAUGAGCUUGCGACUAGUGAGUGGAUGUAAUUAUAUAUAUUAAAAUAAUAAUAAUAAUAAUAUAGUGUACUAGUGCUUAUGCAUAAUUAUGUGACAUAACUCCACAUUGAAUAUCAUACAUUAGCAAACAUGGAAUUCAUACAUACAUACAUAUAUCACAAACUGCACUAAAUAAUACCUAGGGGAAAUAACUCUCAAUACUCGUCGGGAUCAUCAUCGCAUGAGUAGAGUAGAGGAAAAACCUCUCAAUACCCGACGGAAUUUAGCUACAUCGCUCGGAUAGAGUAACCUAACUCUCAAUACGCAUGCGCAGAGUCUAUGGGGACUGGUACAUAUAUGGUAACUGGCAAUCAAAUCUCAUGACUCAAUCAAACAUAUAAUAUGCGUACAUAUAAUCAUAAUAUGAUUUUAAAUCAUAAUAUCAAACAUAAAUGUUUCAUGGAAUACAUAAUAGUAAUAAUAGUAUCCAUUCACAGAUCUUGUUUCACUUUGGGGUUCGUUGAGGCUCUUGUAGGUUCCUGAAUUCUCGAGUUCCUCCUAAAAUAUAGGGUUUGAAAAUUAACUGUUAGAACUUAUAUAAAAACUUAUAUGUAUCAUGCAAACUGUAACAUAAUUGCUCAAAUUUUAUAAAUCUAUUACCCACUGGUUCAAUUGGAUUUAAUUCAACUAUCUAGUUCUAAUUUCCAUAUUAUUGCCUCCUAAUUCCACUUUAUUUCUCACACUGAGCUUCUUUUCUUCUUUUCUUUUCUUUUUCCUUCUCUUUUCUCUUUUCUUUUCUCUCGGUUUUUCUUUUUUCUUCUCUUGGUUUUGAUUUCACUUCGAAAAUGGAAGAACAAAUGAGAGCUGCUUUCAAUUAUUUCCAAUUAUAUAUACAUGGCCACCGACUCACAAGUGAAGCAUGCAGGUCAAAUAUGCAUGUGGCAAGCAAGGAAUGAAGUUGGCAUGUGGAGAAGUGGUGAAGCAGACAGUUGGUUGUUGCUUUUGAAAUUAGCCACGUUUGGCUCUUUUUUUUUUUUCCAAGCGGUGCAUGACAGUAAAGCAGGAAGAAAUUGAAGCUCUACACAAGAAUAAAACAUGAGAACUUGUACCACUACCACAUGGAAGAAAAGCCAUUGGAAACAAAUAGGUCAACAAGAUCAAACGUGAUGGCAAUGACCAAGUGGAGUGGUAUCGUGUAAGAUUGGUGGUGAAAGGAUAUGCUCAAAAAGAAGGUAUUGACUUUAAUGAGAUAUUUUCUCCAGUGGUUCGACUAACAAUAGUCAGAGUAGUCUUUGACUUACAUCUAGAGUAGUUAGAUAUGAAAACUAAAUUUCUUCAUGGAGAACUUGAAGACGAAAUUUAUAUGCUCCAACCAGAAGGUUUUGCUGAAAUAGGAAAGCAGAACUUGGUUUACAGGUUGAACAAAUCUCUAUACAGUCUUAAACAGGUGCCGAGGUGUUGGUAUAAGAGAUUUGAUUUCUUCAUCAUAAUCCUUGGAUACAGUAGACUUAGUUCAGAUCAUUGUGCAUAUUACAAGAGGUUUGAAGAUAAUGAUUUCAUCAUUUUGCUAUUGUACGUGGAUGACAUGUUGGUUGCAGGCCCCAACAAAGAUCGAGUCCAAGAAUUGAAGGCACAAUUGACUAGGGAGUUUAAAAUGAAGGACUUGGGAUCAGCAAACAAGAUUCUAGGGAUGUAAAUUCACCGAGACAUAAAUAAUAUGAAGAUUUGGCUUUCUCAGAAGAACUACUUGAAGAAAAUCUUGUGACGCUUCAACAUGCACGAUUGUAAGUCAAUUUCUACCCCACUCCCUGUUAAUUUCAAAUUAUCCUCAAAUAUGUGUCCUAGCAAUGAAGCAGAGAGGAAGGAGAUGUCUCGAGUACUGUAUGCAUCAGCAGUGGGAAGUUUGAUAUUCACUAUGAUAUGUACUAGACUAGACAUUGCACAAGCAGUAGGAGCAGUUAGUCGAUACAUGGUAAAUCCUGGUGGAGAGCAUUGGAUAGUUGUUAAGAAGAUUUUAAGAUAUAUUAGAGGAACCUCAGAUAUUGCAUUAUGUUAUGGAGGAUCAAAGUUUACUGUCGGGGGCUAUGUGGAUUCAGAUUUUGUAGGAGACCUUGCUAAAAGAAAAUUCACUACUGGCUAUGUGUUUACACUUGCGGGAGCAGCUGUAAGCUGGGUUUCAAAAUUGCAGACUAUUGUGACCUUAUCUACAACAGAAGCAGAGUACAUGGCAGCUACACAAGCUUGCAAGGAAGUUAUUUGGAUACAAAGAUUAUUGGAGGAGUUAAACCACAAAUAAUAGAAAAUUCCUGUGUUUUGUGACAGUCAGAGUACCUUGCAUAUUAUAAGGAAUCCAGUCUUUCAUUCCAGGACAAAACACAUAGGAGUUCAGUAUCACUUCGUUCAAGAAGUAGUGGAAGAUGGAAGUGUCGAUUUGCAGAAAAUCCAUACCAAGGAGAACCUAGCAUAUGUUUUGACCAAGCCAAUCAAUACUGACAAGUAUGUCUAGAGUAGAUUCUCUUGUGGCCUAGCAGAAAAGUAGGCAACAUGAGUAUAGGCGAAGCAGAAAGGAUGGUGUGGAGAUUGAUUGGUUCCCAAUCUAAUCUCCAAGUGAGAGAAUGUCAAUGGCCAUGGAAAAGGGCAAAGAAAAGAAGAAAGAAGACAAAAGAGGAAGAAGAAAAAAGGAAAGAAAAGGAAGAAAAAAGGAAAGAAAAGGAAGAAAAAAUGGGUGUCGGGCCGGAGAAGGAAAAGGAAAAAAAAUAAUUACAAUAAAAUAAUAGUGCACAUUAGCCAAAAUUUGGCUAUAAAAGGGUGGCUCUCCUCAUUUGUAAAUCAUCGAAUUCUUCAGUUCUUUUUCUUCAUUUAGAGAGCGAUUUUAGAGUGUAGUGAUUUGAGAGUUUGGGUGUAUUGGGGUUUUGGGUAGUGAGCUAAAAUACUACAAUAUUUGUAACUCUUUUUCACUAGUAAAAAUAUUUUCAUUUUGUUUUCGACAGUAGACGUAGGCUAAAAGCCGAACCACGUAAUUUCUGAUAUCCUUGUGUGAUUUUGUGUCUCAUUAUUUCUCAAUUUCACUUUAGCUGCAUGUCUACUUCACCCAUCAAUCUCCCAACAUAAUAGUCCCAAUUCUUUACAUAAUAUCAUUUUAUAACGACUUUGAUGUUUUGCUUUAUAUGGAUGUCAUGUUUGAUUGAGAAAAAUCUAUUCCUCAUAUUCUAAUCAUGACCUUUACCUUUAGAAUCAAUAUCGGUUCCUAUAAUCUUCAUUUGAUUUCUAUCAUCCCCUAAAAUUGGAUAUUAGAAUUUGCGAUAAAAAAUUUUAGACUACCACCUUUUCCAUAUCAUGAACUAAUUUGGUUAAAAAGGACAAGAACCUACCAUACUUCUUAGAGAUAAUUUACUUCCAUCCAUCGUGCUGGCAUUUAUGCUUGUCUUGAGUUAGUGAAAGUGAAAGUUUCCCAAUAUGAAAGAACGCAAAGGGAAGAUGCUAUUCUCCAAUUAUUAUUGACGUGGUCGCUAAGUAAAGCCUAGAGAUACGAAACCUCUCAUGCAAAUUUAGUAUCUAUAAGAACGCAAAAGCCCCGAUUUCCUUUAAUUUUGCAACAUCAAUUUUUCUACUCUUUAAUUUUUUCACCCAAAAUUAUUCACCACCACCACCACUCUAGCUGCUUCGUGGCCGCUGCCAGUCGUCAUUCCUCUUCUUCUUCACAGGUUCUCUUUUUUUUUUCUUAAAAGAAUUCUAAUUAACGGAUUUAUGUUUUUAUCUGUUUUAAUUAACUUGGAGUUGACUAAUAAUUAUUUUUCAGUGUGCAAAGUUUUGGGAUUGACAGUCUUUACUGAUAAUCGUGGUAUGUAGCUGAAAAAACGAUAAUGUUUCUAUAAUGUUACGGACGCUGUAAACCACAUGUAAAGUCCUUUAAAAUGGUUUGUAUGAAUUUAACUUCAUUAAUCAAUUAUAUUUAUUAUGAAUUUUAUCUAUGUAAUUUAUUUAGGUUUCUUCGCCUUUUUUUUUCUUACUCGAGUAAUCUUCAAGUUGCCCCUUUUUUGGUCCCUUUUUCUGUCCUUCAGCAGUCGCGUUGUUUUACAUUAGUAAAGUUACCAGUUAUUAUUAUUAUUAUUAUUAUUAUUAGUUUAUAAAGAUUAGUUUUACCCCCAAAAAAGAAAAAAAAAAAUUGAUCACACUACAGAAUAUAUUCCUCAGCCAAUGGUCGUUUACUCAAUGUUAAACCGAGGUCUUUUUAAUUAAUAGCUAAAGGAUUAUUUCCUUUACAUUGUUUUUUUUCUACAUGUUUUUUUUUCCCUUAAAAUCUGUACUUACUGCAUGGGUGAUUAAUAACCAACGUUUGCAAUUAAGAAAAUAAACCACUCGCGUUUUGGCCUGUAUUAUUUAGCGCAUUUUAUUAGGAAAGCGAGCAUCACAUUAAUUUUAGCCUUUUAAAAUUUUUAAUAGUAAAUUAGUUCUUGUUUCAUAUAUAAAUUGACUAUUCAAUUUAUUAUUUUGACUCACAGGGUGGGAACCCCCCCGGUGAUAUUCAAGUUAUUUGUUUUAUUAAUAAAACUAGAAAAUAGAACCGCGCUUCACGCGGCUUUGAAAAAAAAAUUUAGUAUUAUCAUUUUUUCUUACUUUACACUUGAUGAAACUGAUAAAAAAUAUAAAUUGAUUUUCUUUAAGAUGAGGCAGCCUUAUAAAAAACAAAAAAAAAACUAUUAACCAGUAAUACAAAUAAAGAAGCAGCGCAAGAUAAAAAAUAAAAUGAGAGAAUAUAUUAUAGAGUAAUUUUAUGCAUUCCAAUUGUGUGUGUACAAAACAAAAAGAUGAGCACUCCUUUUAUAGUUACAUAAUCACUCUAUGAAAUUAAUGAAAAAUUAUGGAUCAUAAUUCCUUGUGAGAUAGUGGGAGUUAUAGGGAAGCUAAAGGUUGCUAAUGGGAGAUAGUGGGGAGACUGAAAAAUAUAUGUUAUGAAUAUCUAUAUUUAUUUUAAUAAAUUCAUAACACUCCUCCUUGGAUGUUCAUUACAAAGAAUAUGUCUCAUUAAAAUCUUUACAUAAUUGUUAUUGUGUAAUAACAAUCAAAUUAAUUAUGAGAAGAUGAAAAGCAAAAUCUAAAAGAAAAUUUCUCUAUUUAUUAGAUAAUAGAGAAUCUACAAAAAUGAGAAAUGGUGAUGUUAUAUCACCUCCUCAAGUCCCAGCUUUAUAUAUAUAUAUAUAGAUAUGCUGGUUAAGUUUACUCUUCCCAUCUUGUGAGUCAAAAUUAGGAAACAAAGUCUUUGAGCUAUUUGAUAUUGAGGUUUUAUAAUUUUUAAUCACAGUUAUUGUGAGGAAAAAAAAAGUUUGUUAUAGUGUGUUGGAUAGAUAUGAUUUACAAAUAAUGUCUUUUACAAAGCUAUCCAACACACUAUAACAAGCUUAUGAUUCGAUACAAAAUUGAACAUUUCUAUCUUUGCUUCAAUUCAAAUAUUGAUAUAUCUAUCUUUGCUUCAGGUAUAGAAAAGAAAAACACCGAGAAAUUAAGUUUAAUUCCAAACUCCGAAUAUGGAAGAAGCCGGCAGAUCAUCAAACCCAGAAGCAAAUGAUCAAAGCAAUUUCUCCAAGUAAGAAAAUAAAUACCCUAUAUACGUGUAUCUGAUAUCAGGUAUGCGGAAUUGAUUUAUUAAUAUUUUUGAUGUUACAAAAUUCAAUUGAUGGAUUGCGUUUUGAUUCAUUAUUAUACUGAAAUUAAAGCUUAAAAUCUUGAAAUGUAUUUUGAACUUAAUUAAGUUUUUAGAAGGCCUAUAGUUAAUUAAUGAUAUUGAGCUCGCUCUAACCCUCCUCAAACUCACACAGAAGUAAAUAAAAAUUGAGCUAAUAAUAAAGUUACCCCAAAUUUUGAAUUAAUGAUAAAUUUACCUAAAAGAUUUGCUUUUGAUGGGAUUGAGGUGGAAUUUAUUGGUAGAACGCAUAUAAUUUUUCGUGGAUCCACCUAGCGUAACUAGCUGAAAACUAUACACUUAUUCUCCAAGUGACUGUUGUUAAGAAUUAUCACGAUUACUAUUGUUUAGUCCUUAUUAACAAUUCAAAGUCUGCAACGCACCUGAGUCAGCGAUGGUGCGUGUAUAUUGUUUAACAAGAAACUACUCACUUUAAAAAAGUGGGGUGAAGUUAAAGGACAAAAACAAAAAUCUUAAUGCAAGUGUUUACGUUUUUUUUUUUUAAUUAUAUUAAAUUUCAUAUUAUUUUUCCUUUUAGCUCUAUCUCUUUUGAAAAAAAAAAUCAACAUUUUUUUAACUAGGAGAAAUUAUAUCUACACCAUAUUUCUUUUACCAUAUGUACAUCUAACUACUAUAAAAUUUUGACACGUACUUUGCACCAUCUUUAUUUUUAAACUUGUAUCAAUUAACCAUUUUGACCUUUAAAAUAAUCAUUUUACCCCUAAAUAAAUUAAAACACAAAUUUAUUCUACAAAAUAUUAAAAAAUAUAAAGAUUAUAAUUAUAAGAAUACCCCUAACUUUUAUAAAACAAAUAAAUUUCAAAAUCUAAGAUGAUAAUUCACUACAAGAAAAAAGACCUACUAUGACAGGCAAAAACUAUCAUCUUAGGGGGUAGAUGACAGUUGUCUUUACCGUCAUUGUAGCCAGCGACAAGAAAAGAUGACAGACAAAAACUAGUCAUGAGUUGUGAUAGAAUUUACCUAUCAUAAUUCUGUCAUACUAUUUAUAGGAGGGAAAUUAAAUUUUUUAAAAAAUUUUGGUGGAAAAAAAUAAAUUUUACGAAAUUAAAAUUAUAAUUAUUUUUUUGGACAAAAGUUGUGUGUCAUAUACUGACUGAUAUUUUCUAUCACAAUUUUUAAAAAAUUAAUAAUUAAUUAAUUUAAAAAUAAAAAUUUAUGCAAUUUCAGCUGCUUCAAUUUAAAAUUUAAAUUAUUAAAUUUAUAUGAGAGAAAAUAAAUUACUAAAUGCAAUCAAAUACAAAACCAGUGAAUCAAAUUAGUGAACUUUAUUAUCCAUAAAAAUAACUAAAGUACAAAAGCAUACAAUUCAAGCUUUACAAUAUAUAAGUUGAACAAUAUUCCAAAGUUAAGCCAAUAGAAAACAAAGGCCAAUCCAAAACCAAGUGAUGCACUUAGCAUUCAGCAACAUCAGCACCAAAUCUAUGCAAAUGUAGUCCUUUUCUACCAGCAAAAUCCAGCAGCCCCUCAGCCAAGUAAAAUGUACCCCAUUUCAUCAAUCGAAAAUAUCCAGAAAAAUAAGUAUUUACACAUGCAAUUAAUUGAAUAUGAAAAUAUUCAAUGAAGAAUAAGGCCAGACCCUUUUUUCCCCUUCUCUAAAGUAAGGCAUUAAAAAAGAUUGAAGAAAUUUACGCAACAAAAUAAAUAAAAAUAUAAAUUAUAUAGUACUAUUAGUUGUGUAUAACACCUACCACAUAGACAAAGCAUCCACAGCAAUCUCUGCGUUCUGCAGUUUCCUGUCAUUAAGUAAUGAUAUAUAAAUAAAAUUAAAAUCAAUAGCUAUAGCUGUAAUUCUUAGGCCAAAUCAAAUUUAUAUGUACUUAAGUUCAUGAUUCUUUAAGUUUUGUUCUCUUUAGCAUGCCUUCCUACUGGUAAUCAUCUCAUGCCUUAUUAAAGUUUAAUACUGUUUUGAAUUAGAAUAUACCAAGAAUUUGAGUGAAUGCUAGAAUUAUAACUCUUUAAGAUUAAUGCAUUGCAUGCUCAGCCUCAGCAAACUUAUCAAUCAAUGUUUGCAUACCCGAAAAAGAGAUUGAAAAGAAAAACAGGAAUUAAAGAACAACUAAUAUAAGCAAUUCCUUACUUAAAAAGCUUGAUAUCACAUUUCAGAAUAAAAAUAAACAUAACAAAGUUUCCUUACCCAAAUUUACAUGAACAUCAUCAUCAACUUUGAUGCCACGGGAUAGGGAUUCCCCCACUUCCCUCGAGCCCCCUCACCUACAAAAUUCUGCACCCCCCUUGGAAAAAGCUGUAGCAAAAAUAAGUUUUUGUCUUGGCUGACAAUUCCAAGUAGCCCUUUAUAUGUUCUGGUAUGUAUAGUCCCAACAAACAAAUGAGAAGAUUUAUCAGAAUUUUUGAAAUAUAUUUUAAGACUAACAGGAUUGUGAAUAAACACCAACAAGAGCAUCAAAGGAACCAGAAAGAAACAUCACCAACCUUAAGAAGUCUCCAUGCGUCUUUUCCUCUGCUUCAUUAGCUUUAUUAAGAAUUCCACCUGAUGUUGCACUAGUGAAAAAAUUAUAUUCAAUGAAUAAAUAAUUGGAAACUUCAAAGUCUGCAGUUAACUAAAUUACUAAUGACGAUUAAGAGAUUCACUCCGCAAAUUAUUCAAGAAACUUUUGCAGAUAAUACUAAUUAGAUUUUUCAGAAAAUUUUCAAUAUUCUUUUCAUUCCCACUGAAGGAUCAAGCAUUAUGAGCCAAAAUGCAAACACAGGGCAUUACUUGAGUAGCAACUUAACCAUUUGUCACAAGUUGUACAAGACUUUUCAAUCCAAAAGAAGACUGAAUUGUAGAAUAAAAUCUAAGCCUAUCAUUAAAAGCCCAAACGAACAUUAUUAACUAGAUUUAUAAAUUUCUUGAAUCCUAAAACGGAAAAGUUCAUUCGUAUAAAGUUAUCAGUUCCGGCCUCACUGUUCUACUCAUCCCCGUCUCGCUCAAUUCAGCCGAUUCAUAAAGCAGCUCAAGAAAUGUUUCUAAAAUUUAAUAAAUGAGAAAAUUCUAUAAUGAAUUAUUGUAAUACUAAAACACAAGAUUACCCAGAAAUGUAAUAGAACCUUUAACAAACACAUGGAAUGCAAAACCCAUAUCUAAAAAAUAUAUCAUUAAUGCAAGAGUCGGAACAACAUCCUAUACUAUAUAUAGAUUUAUAAUCACAAAUCGAGUGAGAGAAACAAUCAAACAAAACAAUAAUGCAAAAAAAAAAAAUUGAAACCCACAAAAAAAAAAUCAUACUUAAGGUUUAAAAGAGAUGAGAACUUUGAAACUCGUGUCGAAGAUAGUUGAGAUAACAGCGAAGCUCACCAUCACUUGCUAGAAAUCGCUGAGAAAUAGGUAAAGCUUGCUUGCGAAUGAGUGUGGCUUUCAGGGAUUCUUGAUGGCUAGGGUUUCGGCUGUCGUCGAUAGGUAAGGUUUUGGUUUCGAUUUAGGACUGAAUUUGAUUCCACCGUGGCAAAGAAAGACUGCGGCGGGUCAGCGGCGAGCCAACGACAGUGAGGGUUGUCAUUGUCAGUGAGGAGCGAGCUACAUUCGAGAGAGAGAAGUUUUAGAGUAAUGAGUGGGUGUGGCCUUAACACGUGGGGGAAAAAGAGGUUGAAAGACUGAUAAAUGUGUGAAACAACGUCGUUUCACUUCUUUCUUUGUUUUGAUGUUGUUUUAUUUUUUAUUUUUUAUUAUUUAGAAUUUUAAAAAUUUCGGUCAAAUCUAAAGUCAAAAUAAAAUUCUAUCAUAAUUUCUUGAUAGAGAAAAUAUAUAUCAUUAGUUGGUCAUAAGUAUUUGACAACAGUAAAUUCUACCACAUUUUUAUCAUAAAUUUUUUAUAGAAAAAAUUUAUGUCACAUGUAUGUCGUACUUAUAAGAUAUAAAGUCUUUUAGCCAAAAACUGUCACAUGAGUAACUGUCAUUAUAGGUCAUUUUUCUUGUAGUGUAUAUUUUUAAAUGAAAUUAUAAUUAUAAAAAACAUCAUCUUGUGAUUAUAAUUUUUGCAAUUUUAAUUUCAUUUUAUUUUUGUAAUUAAAUUAUUUAUAGGGAAGUUUACAAAAAUUAACAUGAAAAGAAAAUUUUUAUAAUUAUUGUAAACUUUCCUAUAAUUAACAUUAAGAAACUUUCCUAUUCAAAUUGAAUGAAAUUAUGAUUACACAAAAUUAACAUGAUAAUUUUUAACUGAAAUUAUAUUUAUAAAAAAUUAGCCUAUUGAAUUUAAAAUUUAUUUAUUUUAUUAAAUUCUGAGUUAUUCUUACAAUCAAUUUUAUUAUUUUUCAAAAUUUUAUAGAAUAAAAUGGAAUUUUAAUUCAUUUAGGGAUAAAAUGAUCAUUUUUAAGUGUCAAAGCAGUUGGUUGAUACAAGAUUAAAAAUAAAGGUGGUGCAAAAUACAUGUUAAAAUUUUAUGGUGUUUAAAUAUACAUAUGACAAAAAAAAAUGUGAUUCAGAUGUAAAUUCCAUUUUGACCGCCCUCUCUACAAUUAACUCUUGAGUCUACCAUUGGCGAUCAUCUAGAUGACUAGAUUGUAAUAAUAACUUCUCUGAUAUGUUAUCCAUUUUUGAGCUUAUCUGCAGAAACAAAACCGAAGAUGAAAUCACUGUGACGGAGCCAAAAAUAAGUAAACAAACUAAAGAUGCACCGAGUUCAAUAGGUAAAUAAGUAAUUAACAUAAAGAGAUUAAUUUUUAAUUUUUAAUUUACUGAUUCAAUUUCAGUAUUAUUAGUUAAUUUUUCAGAAUAAUAGUAACAAUUAUAUAAUUUAUAGAUUCUGUUUUCAUGAUGAUUAACUCAGAUGAUCAAGGGGAGGAUGAGUAUUAUGCUCGUUAUUGGCCGCUAUACAGAAUGAUAGAGAAGAAUGAUUGGCUAGGUGUGGAAGAUUUCGUCACUAAUGAUCCCGAUGCCUUGACCGCCAAGACUUUUGCACCGGGUUCAAAGACAAUAUUUCACGCGAUUGUGGAGUCGUUGGUUGAUGUUGAGUCAGAUGACGCCACAUGCCUCCUCGAUAAGCUGGCGUCAAAGGUUGAUCAACAAACACUAGCACGACUAGAUGAACAUGGGCACACCGCUCUAUAUCAGUGUGCGGGAAAAGGGAAUCUAAGGGCCUUAAAAGUCCUAGUGAAGUAUAACCCUGAUUUAACAACCAUAAGGAGCAAGGGAGACCACCUUCCGGUUCAUAAUGCAGCGUAUAAGGGUCAUAAGGAUACGUUUCGGUAUCUACUAGAGGUGACUCAUGGAGUAGACAUCUACAGCGGCAACGAUGGUGCCAGAGUGCUUUCAUAUCUCAUCGACGCUAAUUUAUACGGUCAGUAUUAUUAACCUUAACGUUUCAAGCUAACACAUAUAAACCAAUUUUCAAGUUAUACUGUCCAUGUAAAGCUUGUCGAACCAACUUUUUUCUUUUAAAACCUCAAGGCUAGCUAACGCUAAACCAUAACUUAUAAUUAACAUGUGUUUUUGACAACUCUGAUAUAGAGGCCUUCUGUGGUGAAAAUGUCCGCAUGAAACUCGGUAUGGACGAGGAGUUUACAGCGUGAUAAAAGUAGACAGCCUGCACCUGAGAAUUUUUCUCUGAAGCAUAUUUUUCAAAUUCUAUGCACAUGAACAUUAAUCAAAUAAAUUCUUAGUGCCCAUUCUUUAAUAAAACUUUUAUUACUUUAAUGCACAUUAAUCAAAUAAAUAUUUCAGAUAAAUAAUAUGAUUAAUUUUUUUGUUUAAAAGAAAAUUACUCAUAAGACAACGAACUUACUGAACUCCGAUAGAAAAUAUUGGGGGGUCAAAAUUCUUUGAAGAUGAACCCAUUAAUUAUCACGCAAUGGUUAAGAACUCUUGACGGUAUCGAGCAGAACGACCUGUUCUUCCUGACUGUCCAACACUGCAUUAAUUUAAUCGAUUAUCCCAUUGUGUUUGCAAUUUUAUCAAAUGCACAUUUAAUUGUUUUAAUAUAAACAAUUAAAUUUUGUUUGCCGCUUUUGUUAAACCAAAUUCCUGUUUCUACUGUUGAUUGCUUGGUUAUACUUUAGUUUUAUUAUCUUCGUUUAUAUGAUGCUCGCAUUAUAUAGAGAUCAAAUACAUCGCCACUACUCUGACAUUGUUCAUGAAUCAGAUGUAGCUUUGGAUUUAUUGAAGCUUCAUCCAACGAUUGGCCGUGACAGCAUCGACUCUCGGGGAAUUGUUCUAAACAAGUUGGCUCAAAAGCCUUACGCGUUUGCAAGUGGGAGUCGGCUUGGACGUUUGCAACGCUUAAUUUACAAUUGUUGGUGUCAAUAAUCCUUUAUGAGCACAUACACAAACAUCUAUAUAGUGAUCCUCCAAUGAAGGAGCUCUCAUUUUAAUAAAAUGAGGAAGCACUAAUUGGAAGAUGACCCCAUAUAGAUGUGCGUAUAUAUAGAGUGGUUAUUUGUGUGGCCUAAAAAAACCAAGUAAAUAAAUUUGCAGGCAUUCCUGUGGAAAAGAAACUAGUUCCUUCCAUUCAGACCAAAGAUAAUCAAAAUGUGGAUGGAGACAUGGAGAACCUUAUCGUGACAUCAAAAAUCCACUCAAAAACAUCCACACGUUUUGGAUCUGCUAAGCAAAUCACUACGACAUUUGGUCUGUAAAACUGUUAUAUACUAAGUCUUCUUGAAUUUAUGACUCUGAAUUGAAAGGCAUUUCGUUUGUUUAUACGUAUGACAGGUGCAACGUGGCAUAAAUCGUAUUGGAUGCUCUGGAAUGCCCUCAUGCGCCUAGGUAAGUCUUGAGAGGCUGUGUUCAAUUAAAAUAUAGUUGUUUGAAAUUAAUUUAUUUAUUUCCCUUUUAUUGAUCGAGUUCAAUUGCAGCCCCCAGCAUGAAAGCUAUACAUGAACAAAAGUUAGCGCACAUGCAGACAGUUGAAAUUGUCAGAAUUAUCUGUAAAGAAGUGAUUUGGACCUGCCACAGAAGAGAAUUGAAGGGGGCAUUGUUCACAGCUGCAAGAUUGGGGAUACACGAGUUUGUCAAUGAAUUUAUUAUGGCCUAUAACAAGACUGCAAAUGUGUUGAAUGAGGAUCGGCGUAGCAUAUUUGAUGUUGCAGUUUUACAUCGUCGUGAAAAAGUUUUUAAUCUGAUACAUCGUGUGAAUUUCACAACAAAUUUAUUUUUAACAGAAGGCAAUUCUGGCAACAACAUCCUGCAUUUAGCGGCAAAGUUGGUACCUUCAAGUGAAGUGGCUGGUGCAGCAUUGCAGAUGCAGCGGGAGUUGCAAUGGUUCAAGGUGUGAUUGCUCAUCCGACAACUUAAUACACCUUUUUAUAUUUAAUACAAUUUGAUGUUUGUGGCACAAUAGGAUAAAUAAGUAUUGAUAUUAAGACAAAAUUAAGAUAUCAAGAAACAAUGCCGAUUUACUCAAUUGAAAAAUAAGGUAAACCGGCGCCGUUUUUAACUUGUUUCUGUAAGCGUUCUAUCACUUUGGCAUUUGCAGGACAUAUGUAAGCGUGAAAAAGCAUAAACAAUUCUUCAAAAUGAAAACUUCCGACUAAUUUCUUAGUCCAAAUGCCUUUAGUUAUCAUCUUCCCAUGAAGUACAUUGGGCCUUUCUGCACCUAGAAAUCUACCUUAAAAGAAACUUUUAGUCCUCGUGUUUAUGACUUCUUCUCUGUAGGCGGUAGAAAAACUUAUCCAUCCAGACAUGCUAGGAGAUGAAAAUAGUUCCAACCAAACUGCUAGGGAGGUCUUUACUGAAGAACACAAGGAAUUAGUGAAAGAAGGAGAAAAAUGGAUGAAGGAAACAGCUUCAUCUUGCUCAGUUGUAGCUGCACUCAUUAUCACUGUUGUGUUUGCCGCAGCUUUCACUGUACCUGGCGGCAGUGACAGCAAAGGAAUACCAAAUAUUUUACAUGAACCAUCUUUCAUGAUUUUUGCCAUUUCAGAUAUACUGGCGCUAUUUUCUUCCAUUUCUUCAGUUCUAAUGUUCUUGGGCAUCCUCACUUCACGCUACGCAGAAGACGAUUUUCUUCUGUCGUUACCAAGGAAGUUAAUUAUUGGCCUCGUCACCUUGUUCUUUUCUAUUGCAAGCAUGAUGGUAGCCUUUGGUGCAACCGUUCACAUAUCUCUUUCUCAUAAAUGGAAUUUGGUUAUCAUUCCAAUUGCCCUUGUUGGAUGUGUCCCUGUCACCUUAUUUGUAUUGUUGCAGUUUCCUCUUUUGCUUGAUAUGUACUCAUCUACUUAUGGCCGCAGCAUCAUCAUAGAUAGCAGUUGGAGAGAAUUAGCUAGCUGUGACUUGGUUGCUAAAGGUAGCUACAAAACACGGUUAUAAAAGCUGAUUAAAUGGUGUUAUUAUCCCACUGUGUAACUGAUUCAUUUCUUGUUGAUUUUUCCUGAUACUUUUUCAAUAAUCAUUGUUGAGUGUUUAGAGCUGUGUACUUGAAUUUGGUUUAUAAAAGUCCACUCUGAGGCUGGUUCGAUUGAGGAACUGAACCUUAGAAAAUUUAUUCUGUUUGUUUUGAUCUCGUUUGGAUAAUAAUUGAUCUUUGACCAUAUUUGUUUCAUUGAGAAGGAACUAUUCAUCUGAUUCCAAUCAGAACUUUCCCUUUCGGAACAAUAUUUAUUCCUAUGAUUUUCAUUUGAUUUCUAUCAACUGGCAAUUAAAAGCUGCGAUGAAAAUUUUUGGACUACCAGCCUGUCUGGGAUGCUCGAAAUCCUUGGUCGUACGGUGACUAAUGGCGCCUAUUUCCUUAAUGGAAACCAACCUCACAAUGGCUUUUUGUUAACAAAAGUGAAGAACAAAAUUCUAGAGCACUCUAGAAGGUUACGGAGAAACAAGGAUUGUGAAAAAUUGAGGCUUAGAUCAAAAGGGAAUCGAAAAACCUCAUUUAAGGCUCUGUUUUUCACCUGCUGGACUACUGACUAAUUUUAAUUACAAGUUCAAAUAAAAUGUUCUAAACACUUAAGAAGGAUUAUAGAACAAUGAAAAAUGUUGAAUUUAAACUCCGCAAAUAACCAAGUUUAAUUCCCCAAGAUCCACUCCUAAGCACUUAAAUCUCAAAAUUACACCUAUAAAGAUCAAGCUUAAUGCAAUUGACUCUUAACGAUUCAAAAAUGGUAACCAAAACAACAAGAACAGAAACAAAAUUACACAAUUUGACAGUAGAGAUUUAUAGUGGUAUGGCUUCAAGCAAACCUACAUCCAUUGCAAAAAGAGAAACAAUAUUUCACUAAUUUGGGUUUCUCAAGACUCAAUAUUGCAGAGAGUGUGUGACAGGAUCACCAUAUCUCAAUAACCACUCAUGAGGCCUUAUAUACAGAGAGAUAUUCAUCUAGAAAUGUCCACUAACAGCCAGCUCACGUAUUUCUGGGUUUGUUAUCAAAACCCACAAGCUUCACAUGCAUAUAACGGCCUUAACAGCCAUUUGCACCCAUUGAUGGACACGUGUCAAUGCUUCAUCCACUCUGUUAUGUAAAACAGCAAAUGUAGCUGUUGAAUUUGAUAAGUGAUGCACGUGAAAAUCACGUGUAUCACCUAGUCUUCCAGUUGACAAUACAUAAAUGUCAGAAGUCCCUCCGGAGCUCUACAAAUGACAUGUCAUACAUGCAAGAGCAACAUGUCAUAAAGGUCUAAAGAAUGUAACCGACUUGUCAUUCUUGAUCAUAAACCCAGAUUUGAGCUUGAUCCUUCAACAAAAAAAGACCAAGAAAUGGCUUAGUGGAAGUAUAUCUAAAAUGGCAAAAAUCAUAGAAGAUGAUUGAUCCCAGAAAUUGGGUAUUCCUAUGCUAUAUAUGUAUCUACCACCUCGUACAUUGAGAGUUGUAGUGAAAAGUAUUGUGAUUAUGAGUGCAACAAUUGAGCAACAUGAAACUAAAGAUGGUUUAUCAAUAUGUGAUGAUGAAAAGUAAAGCCUUUAGGUUCAACAGCUAAUUCCCUAUUUAACCUUAUAAAUCGACUUACACCAUUCUACUUUCUCGUUCGCAAGCCUCUUUAUUGGAUCCCAAGUAUGGUUUUUGAUCAAUGACUACAUUUCCUUAUCAAUGGCUUCCUACCAUUUUUAUUAUCUAUCACUUUUAGCAGCCUCUGAGUAAGUCUUUGUUUUAUCAAUUUCAACCUCAUGUGUUGUUGUUAAUGCAAAUGUUAUCAGAUCUACACAUGCAUACCUCUUAGGUUGCUUUAUUACCCUUUUUCUCUCUAUCUCUCACCAACUAAUAGUCUCCAAUUUCUUGAUCACUUGUUUGCUCAUCUUCUGAUUCAGAAAUGUCCAUAUCGGAUCCUGAUUCAUGUUUAGUUCUUGGUUUCCACUUCGUGUUAGAAGUUGACAACUCUGCCCCAAAAUGAGUCUUCUAAUCUCUCACGUUGGGCGGCUCUAUGAUAUCAGGUUUACAAUGAGUUAAGUUUUGAAGCAUUUUAGACUCAUUAAACAUAACAUCUCUGCCGAUAAUAGCACUUGAUGACUUUAAAUCAAUACAAUAGAGUUUGUACCCCUUCACUAUUUCAGGAUAGCCAAGAAAUACACAUUGUAAGCCUUACUUUCUAGCUUUCCUUGCUUAGUGUGUGAAUAUAAAGGCAAACCAAAGACCCUCAAACCAAAAUAGUUUGUUGAUCUACCAAACUAAAGCACAAUAAGUGUUUAAAAUCAAUUCCAAGUAAAGGGCUUCUAUUCAGCUUAUAGCAAGCUAUAGAUAGCUGUAGAUAAAGCUUCUGCUCAUAGUGUUAUCGAUAACUUUGAAUGAAUAAGCAUGUAUCUUACCUUAUCAAUCAAAGUUCUAUUUCAUCUUUUCAGCUAAUCCACUCUACUAAGGUAUGUAUCUCAUUGUUUUGUGUCUCACAAUCCCAUGCUCAAUACAAUAGCCAUGUCACCUCUUAUUACAAAACUCUAAAUCACGAUCAGUCUUCAACCUCCAAACCUUUCUAUUUGUUUAAUUCUGAACUAAUAGUUCUAAGCCUUGAACUAUUCAAAUACAUCAUCCCUACUCUUGAACAUAUAUACUAAAACCAUCCUUAAAAAGUUAUUAAUGAGAGAUAAGAAGUACUUUGCCCUAUCUAAAGAAGCUGUUUGUGUUGGUUUCUUUGAUACAUAAGCACUAUAACUAAAUUUGACUCUUGAAGACUUGUCAAGGACAUAUCGUCGUAGAAACUCUUGGUCUCUAUCUUGUCCUUUUCUAAAAACCCCUGUUUUGACAUCUCUUUAAACCCCUUUCACUCAUAUAACCUAAACUCAAAUGCCACAACAUUGUUCUAUUUAAAUUUUGGUUUGACACCUCACCAUCACUUGUAACAGUUGACCCUUGAAGGACAUAUAGGCCAUUGUUCAUAUCUCCUUUCAUUAACACCAUUGAUUUUUUUAUUACCCUUAAGGUACCAAAUUCAAAUUUAAUUAAACAUCCCAUUUUAUCGAGCAUACUAAGAGAGAUAAGGUUUCUUUUCAGUUCAGGCACAUGUCUAACGUUCUUCAAUUGCCUAAUCAUGCCAUCAAACAUUUUAAGCCUAAUUAGGCCUUUACUAAUUACCUUAUAGCUAGUAUCAUUACCUAUUACAAGUAACCCACCAUCACAAGCUUUAUAGUUCAUGAACAAACUCUUAUUAGGGCACAUAUGGAAUGGACAACCAAAAUCUAGAAUCUAAUUACUUAUGGUUUGGCCAUCUGUAGUUAUAAGAACUCUAGUUGGGUCAUAGCCUGACCCUUUGAUGCAUAGUAGCAUCACCACUCUUUUCCUUUAAGUCUUUGUUCUUGUUUUUCCUCUCAGGGCAGUCUUUCUUGAAAUGACUUCCUUGUAGCAUUGGAAGCAUUUCAAGUUCUUUAGUCCGAAUUUCGAUAUUUGUUUUUUCCCUUUGCCACUUUUUCUAUUUUCUGUUCUCCCUUUACUGCCAAGCCUUCUCCAUCUCUGGAUUCUUUCUUUGUUGCAGCCUUAGAACUCAAAGUUUCUUUGACAUCCACUAUGGUAAAGGUUUGUCUCACAUACAUCAAGGUGUCAACAAGAUACUCAUAAGAGCUUGGCAAUGAACAAAACAAGAUCAUGGCUUUAUCCUCAUCAUUAAUUUUCACAUUAAUGUCUUCAAAAUCUACUGUAAUCUUGUUGAAAGCAUUAACGUGAUAUGAUGGGGAUGACCCUUCUUCUAUUUGCCUUAGACUUCUUAGUGUACAAGUUUUCAAGCUUCUUCCAUAACAUGGCUGCUAUCUUCUCACUACUAACUACUCAAAGUACUUCAUCUUCAAAGACUUAAGAUUAUUGCAUUGUGGGCUCUAUCUAAGACAUUUGGCAAGUCUUCAUUAGACACUUUCCUUGUCUUCUUAGAUGAUGAGGCCUCACCAUGUGCCUCAUCUAGCGCUUGUGUUAGAGUGCAAUUUAUGCACUAAUUUUGCAUUGUUUACUUCCCUUAAUAUCGAUGUUUUGCACUUAAUAAUGAUGAUUUACUUGUGUUUUACUUUUGUAGGUGCAAUUCUAUUUAUUUGUGAUAAAAUUGAGCUAUAAGAUGAUGUUUAAAGAUGAUUGUUCUCUUGGAGAAAUUAUGAGCGUCAGAAGAACUUUGUUGAUAAGGCGUGGGCGCGUGCUGUCAACUACGGACCUUCAGUUUUUAGUUUAACGUGUUUUGUAUUUUUGGUUAUUUUUGUAAUUACGAAUUUAAUAUUUCAGAUAUUAGUAUUUUAUUUUAAAUAGAAUUCUAGAGGAGAAGAGAGAGGGAGUAUUUAAGAGAGGAAUCUAUUGUGAAAAAUGGGAUUUUUGGAUUGGAGAAAAAGGAAAGAAACCCUAGAUCUAAUUUUUCUCUUCUCUCUAUGAAGAACUAAACUUAUUUUUCUAGUUGAAGGUUAAUGAAGCUUUGAUUCAUCACUACUGUGAGAUCUUUCUUAUGCUUUAAUGGUUUUAUUACUUUUUGGGUAUUUGUUUAUUCUCUGAAUUAGUUUCAUGAUUAUUUUUGUUAAUUAGGUAAUUGGCCACUAUUUAAUUAUCAACUUAAUCUAUUGUCAAUUAAAGGAUUCAUCGUAUGAAGAUUUUAAUGUUUGUGACAAAUAACAUAGCAGUGAGUUGUGUUAUGAGAAUAAACAAUCUAAUUUAAAUGAAUCAUCAAAUGUGUUGAUUAGGAUUUGGGUUUCUCUGGUUUUUCAGGCUGUCAAUUGAUUAAAUCCUAUGAUCGUAUCUAGGGUUGUCUAUUAAUUAGGGAAAUAUCCAACGGUCGUACCUUGGUUAUCGACUAGUUAAGGAGAGAUUGGCUAUUAGAGGGUCUCAAUAGCUAUAACCGGUCUAUUCAUAAGUAAUAAUAAUCUAUAUUUGAAUCAGUGGCUAUUAGGGAAAUAUCCAACGGUCGUACCUUGGUUAUCGACUAGUUAAGGAGAGAUUGGCUAUUAGAGGGUCUCAAUAGCUAUAACCGGUCUAUUCAUAAGUAAUAAUAAUCUAUAUUUGAAUCAAUUAUCAGUAGUCGAAUCAAGCUGAGUUAAUUCCUUCAACCAGAGCUUUCUCCAAUUUGAAUUACAACUUUAAUUUGCAUUCUUGUUAUUUUGAAUUUGAUUUUUAUUAUUGUCAACAAUUCCCCCAUUUUACGUUUUAUAUUUCAAAAGGAUUUAAAUAAUUACCGAUCUCUGUGGACACGACCCUGCUCAAUCACUAUACACAAUUUAUUUAGAGUAUGAAUUUAUUUUUGUUGGCUUCGACAACCAUCAAAUUUUGGCGCCGUUGCUGGGGAUUGGUGUCAUUUAUUUAAUCCUUUUUACAUUUUACUUGGUGUAUGGUUCGUUCUUCUCGUACAGGUACACUUUUGUUUGAUCCUGAAAUUGAGAAGACAACUCGCCAGCUGAGACAGCAUACGAAACAAGCUAAGCAACGAUCCUCGUCGCCUUUGCUUUCUGAAACAGAUACAGUGCCUGAUUUAGUUGAAUCAUCUAGCGAUUCAGAAGAACAAGUGACGGAUAAAGCUGCACCUGUAGAAAGAACUCUUAGAGAGUUAGCUGAACUAGACUUGAAUCAGCAACCACUCUGCAUUCAAUAUGUAGACUUGGAGGUAAAUUUUGAAUUAAAGUCUAGUCUUAUUCAUUUAUUACCCAAGUUUCAUGGUUUUGCAGGUGAAGAUCCUCAUAAACAUCUCAAGGAGUUUCAUGUUGUAUGUUCAAGUAUGAGACCACAAGGCGUGACUGAAGAGUAGAUUAAGCUGCGUGCUUUUCUUUUCUCUUUAGAUGGACUAGCUAAAGACUGGUUGUACUACUUGCUUCCUGGAUCGAUUACAACGUGGAAUGGUUUAAAGAAGCAGUUCCUCGAGAAGUACUUUCCUGCUUCAAGAGCUGCCAACAUCAGAAAAGAUAUUUGUGGGAUCAGACAACUUCCUAGGGAGACUUUGUAUGAGUAUUGGGAGCGAUUCAAACAAUUGUGUGCCAGCUGUCCUCAGCAUCAGAUUUCUGAUCAACUUCUUAUUCAAUAUUUUUACGAAGGAUUAUCAUUGAUGGAUAGGAGUAUGAUAGAUGCUGCUAGUGGAGGCGUAUUGGUGAACAGGACCCCUACUCAAGCAAGGGAGUUGAUCUCAAAUAUGGCUGCCAAUGCACAAUAAUUUGGCAGCAAGCAAGAUCUCACUUCAAGGAAGGUGAAUGAGGUAAAUAUUUCUUCUGUUGAACAACGUUUAGAUAAACUUACUUCUCUUGUGGAAAAGUUUGUUGUAGGUAACGUGCAACAGGUAAAGACUUGUGGCAUUUAUUCCAAUAUGGGUCAUUCAACUGAUAUGUGUCCUACACUUCAAGAAGAACCCGUUGAACAAGCUAAUGAUUUUCAGGCAUGCCUCAAAGGAGGUAUGAUCCUUAUGCACAAACAUAUAAUCCGGGAUGGAAGGAUCACCCCAACUUCAGCUAUGGAGUUAGGCCGUCAGGAUUCCCACAACAGUAUCCACCAAGACAACCAGCACCUCCACAGUCAAACUCCAAGUUAGGUAUAUCUCUUGAAGAAAUUGUUAAAUCACUUGCGACUAACACUCAACAAUUUCAGUAGGCAACUACAGCAAUCAUUCAGAAUUUGGAGAACCAAAUGAGUCAAUUAGUGACUACAGUGAGCCGUCUGGAGUCUCAAGUAUUAGGGAGGUUGCCUUCACAAUCUGAGGUGAAUUCAAAGCAAAACGUUAGUGCUGUCAUCCUUAGAAGUGGGAAUGAGUUGCAAGAGCAUAGUAAGAAAGUGACAAACCAUGUAGAAGAUGAGCUUGAGAAGAAUGAAUUGAUGCCUAAAUCUCAAGAUGCGCAACCCACUAGAGCGAAACCCCUACCUAUUGUGAUACCUCCUCCUUUUCCAAGCCGGUUUGCAAAAUCUAAGAAGGAGGAACAAGAGAAAGACAUCCUUGAGACAUUUCGCAAGGUUGAGGUAAAUAUUCCUUUAUUAGAUGCUAUAAAACAAAUACAUCGAUAUGCUAAAGUCCUUAAGGAACUGUGCACCUCCAAGAGAAAAUUAAGAGGAGAUGAAAAAGUUCACAUGGGGGAGAAUGUUUCAGCAGUUCUCCAAAAGAAACUACCUCCUAAGUGCAAUGAUCCAGGUAUGUUUACUAUCCCUUGUAAAAUUGGUAGUGUUAGAGUUGAAAAAGCUAUGUUAGAUCUAGGAGCUUCUAUUAAUGUCAUGCCUCGUUCUAUUUAUUCAUCUUUGAAUGUUGGUCCAUUAAAAGAAACUGGCGUGAUAAUUCAACUAGCUGAUAGGUCUAAUGCAUAUCCUGAUGGGGUAUUAGAAGAUGUUUUAGUAUAAGUUAAUGAGUUAGUUUUUCCUGCUGAUUUUUAUGUACUUGAUAUGGAAGAUGAUAACUCCUCUAAUUCUAUCCCAAUUUUGCUAGGAAGACAUUUUCUUAAGACUACUAGGACUAAAAUGGAUGUACAUAAAGGGACUCUCACUAUGGAGUUUGAUGGAGAGGUUAUAGAAUUCAAUAUGAAUGAUGCCAUGAAAUAUCCUAGUGAGAAACAUUCUGUAUUUUCUGUGGAUGUUAUUAACCCUAUAGUGCAGGAAGUUUUUUACAAGAAAAAGACGAAGACAUUUCAUGAUAUAAUGAUUUUGAGAAAUGAGUUCUCUGUUGGUCAAAAAGUUCUUCUUUUUCAUUCUAAGCUUAAACUUUUUCCGGGUAAAUUACGUUCUUGCUGGAUUGGACCUUUUAUUGUUACUAAUGUUUUUCCUCAUGGUGCAGUUGAGAUUCGGAGUCCGACCUCUAACAAAGUUUUUAAGGUUAAUGGUCAUCGCUUAAAACCUUUUUAUGAAGGUUUUUCGGUGAAUAUUGUGGAGGAUGUGGCUCUCGAGAGUCCCAAUUAUGGAGAUUGAUGCAUAAAUGUGUCUAGCCAAAGACAUAAAACAAAGGUGCUUUUUGGGAGGCAACCCAAACAAUUUAUUUAUUUUGGUUUUUGUUAUAUCUUCUUUUAAUUUUGAUUCAUAUUUUUUUUUAAUCUGUUUGCUUAUUUUGGUCAAAAGAAAAUUUUUGAUAAGGCGUGCCCACGUCUUAACUAAUAAGUACUUCUGUGAUUUUUAGUAUCUCAAAGUGAUUCAUCACUAAAAUAUAUAUAUAUAUAUUCCUUCUUUUCUUUCUUUUAUAUAUAUAUAUUUUUUAUUUCUUUAAAAAAAAAACAAAAAUCACAAAUCACUGUUCACUGUUCACAAAUCCUUAAUUAAAAAAAAAAAAACUUCACUGUUGAUUAUCGUUUUCACCUGCAGCAACCAGCAGCUGCAGCUGUUGUGCAAAUUUUAAUGAACUCGCAAGUGCACGAAUCUAUUGUAGUAUAGAUCAAUGGUGAUGAGUGUCGAUCCCACGAGGAGGUGGAUUUUAAUUGUGUGUAGAAUUAAUUUUGUAAAUGGGUGAUUGGAUUUGUGGUGGAAAUGAUUUGGAAUAUGCUAAAACUUAAAUUAAAAUGGAGAGAAUAAAUUCUAAAAUUGGAAUUAAAAUGGCGAGAAUAAAUUGAAGAGAAUUCUAUUGAAAUGACGUACUUGGGUAUCUAGAUCUGUAUCAACAUGCAUCAUGGGCUAAAUAAUCCGUAUUAAUGCCAAUUAAAUCAUGAGGGGGGAAUCCACACCUCAUGAACCACGCUCUAAUCAAUAUGGUGCUAAGGGCUUAUCGUGCCAAAUAAUAAUAACCUUGUACUAGAGAGCCGGUGUAACCAAGGCGGUAUCUAGACAAGACUAUUAUUAUUUGUCGACGAAAAGUCAAAUCAUCCACAAAAAUUAGAGGGGAAAAGAAAAUAAAUUUACCAAAUAAAGCCCAUGACACAUGUUGAGACUUCACCUUCAACCCAAGCUUGAAAGGAAAUUAGCUACUCAUAAUUGAACUAGGGGCAAAAUGGGAAUUUAUUAAAAUACAAGAUGGAGAAGGAAUUACAGAAAACAGAGUCCAAAAAUGGAUUCAGAGCUAUCAAAUUAGGGGGGGGAAGCCCCCUUUUUAUAGAUACAUGGAGUAAAUCAUGGCCGUCGGAUUAAAAAUAGUUUGGACGCUCAGGAUUGCGCCAUGUCAUUAGUCAACAGUACGCGGUUUGACCUCGUGGAUGAACAGUAACACGGUUUGACCUGGGUGAACAGUGACGCGGUUUGACCCGGGUGAACAGUGACGCGGUUUGGUUGAAAAUAAUCCUGUGUGAUGCAUGUACCGUACGCGAGAUUUUUCGUCCACUGAUAUGCUGCCACGUCACCAUCAACAGUACAUAAGAAUUUUAGCCCAACAGGAUCGUGACACCUCAUCAGUCAAUGCCACAUCAUCAGUCAAUGCCACGUCAUCGAUCCGUCUAUGUCAACAGUGUCAUGAACAGUAACGUAGACAGUACCGUACAUGUGAAUAGUACCAUUUUUCCUUUUAUGCUCCUCCUAAGGUUUUCGACGAUCCUGAGUUCAAAAGUGAUGUCCGUUUUACCGUCUGAUCUCUCGUUCAUUGUGAAAUGACCAUGAUACCCCUAAAAUACAUAAAAUACUUAAUUAAAAUCAAACACACAUAAUUAAAUUGCAAGAAGCUUAACUACAUAAAAGUAAGGGUUGUUAGUAAAACUUGAAAUGUAAAAUGAUGAUUUUCUCCCUUAUAAAUAUACAUUUUCUAACAGUCAACAGUAGCCACGCAGCAGCAGCAACCGUGCACAAUCAGCAGCAACCGUGCUCGCAACACAGCCACGUAGCAGCAGCGGCCGCGCGCAACGCAGCGCAGCACCAGCAUCUCGCGACCAGCGAGCAGCAACCUGCGUGCGCAGAUCCAGCCUUCGCCCAGCAACGCGCAGAACCAGCGUCAGCCCAGCUCUCGCGCGCAACAAUCAGCACCAACCCGCGCAGCAAGCUCCAGUCGAGCAGCAACGCAGCGCCGAUCUAGCCUACGCCCUGUAUUCCAGCUGGGUAAAUCGAAAUCCGUGAGUGCAAUUAUUGUAACAAUGCCGAAGAGGAAAGCAUCUACUUCCAAGUCAUCUAAAAAGACACCCGUUGCACAGAAAUCCAAGAUUGCCGCUCCCACUACGGUUCCAUGGAACACAAUUUCAUAUUCACACCAAGCCGUGAGACAAAGAUCGAAACAUGGAAAAGGUAUGAGUGUUUUGCCACUUGCGGACUCCAAUCUCGAAGGGUGCCUCGCAUUCGCGACUUAACAAGAGAAAGAGAGGACCCACUUAACCUCCGAAGAAGCUUUAUGCUAGGAGUGGUGCUACCUCUGAUGACGAGUUUGACGACGACACUGCUGCCCCGCCAACUAUUCCUUCUACAUCCGCACCACCUUUGAGCAUUCAGUUAGAGAAAAUUGAGCACAAGCUGAACAAGAUGGAGCAGAAUUUGGCCGCAUACUUCGAGAGUGUGGGAUUUACCCCACCAUUUUCGCCAAGCCCAUAGACGUUAUGUAGAUCAAAGCUCACAAUUCAGGGAUGUUUUUUUUGUCUUUAAUCUUUUAUCCUUACGCUUUAAUUUUUAUGUGAGCUUUGAUUAUCUUACAUUGGGGACAAUGUAAGUUCUUGGUGUGGGGGAGGGAUUUUUGCAUUAUUGAUGUCUGGAAUUAUUAUUUUCACUCUACUCAUCCUUAAAUGAUUUUGGAGUUAGUAUGCUUCAUAUAUUAUUAUUUUUCUUUUCUUUUCUUUUUCACUACUCUUUUCCCAUCUAUCUCAAAUUAUUUACAUCUAUUUUUAUUCUAUCAUACUCUUUCAUCACUCACAUUUUAUCUUUCACUUUUUAUAUUACUACAUAUAUCUUUCUCACUUCUUAUCAUUUUUACAUUUUCUUCACUCAUACCUUCUUCUCAUUCUACACCACUAUGAUGGUUGAUUCAUUUGAAGAGUGUACAUGAUUUGAUGGCAAAUUUACCAACUUUGUGACGAUUUGAGCCUAUGAGCAAUCACUUUGCUCUAAUUAUUUUUGUUAUGUGAAUAUCAAUCUUAGUUUGUUUAUUCUAGAACUUGCUUUGUUAUGCAUGUUGAAGUCACAUUACGGGAUGUUUUGCAUUAAAAUGAUAAGGGCAAACCAUUUACCAUUUUUCUAUUCUCGCAUUUUCUUUUUUUUUCUCUACCCGAAGACCUUGAUUUAGUAUCUUUGUUUGAGCCUUAACCAUUACCCAUCUAAUUCUCUCCGUCUACUUAACCAUUUUUCUUCUUUUUGAGCCUCAAUUUAAGGAGAUUUUUGGACUCAUUGUGUGGAUAUAUUUUGUAUAUAUUUUGUUGCUUUUUCUACCUUGUAUUAAAGUUUCUCAAUUAUAUCAACAAGCAUUAUGCUUGAAUUAAAUUGUGCAAGGUUCGUUUCUUUUGUUUGAUUCAAAAAAAAAAGAAAGAAAAAGAAAAGGAAAAAGAAAAAGAAAAAAAAAGAAAUAGAAAAAAUCGAAAAAAAAAUGUUUACAUUCUUGGUAACUUGAGUAGAAAUAAGCGUUUCGAUAUCAUAAAGUUCAUUCAAUGAGUUCAUUCUUCUCAUUUUGAUCUCUUUUCUUUCAUAAACCUUUCUUUUUCAUUUAACCUAUUUAACCCCGUUACAACCUUUUAAGACCCUUAGAUUUUUGCAUUUAAUUCAUGUUUUGUGGAUUGAGAUGUUAUAUAUAAGCAAGCUUAUGGUAAUAGCAUUCUUUGAUUUGAUUUGAGUGAAUAAAUGACACCCUAAACACUUUGAGUGCAUGGAGUGAAGUCAAUGAGAGGGCUAUUAAAUCUUGUUGCACUUGAAUUUUGAAUGAAUCUUCUUGGUGGUUGAAUGUUCUUAUUCUAUCUUUUGAGAUUCUAUGCUUUAAAAUCCUUGUCUCUCGAAUGUUGAUCGACUUAAUUUCUUGAGGUAUACUUGCUUAAAAUUAUUUUUGGAUGAGUUGAGAUGAGAAUUGAGUGGAGAUUUGGGAUUAAUCUUGAGUUAUAUGCUUGAGGACAAGCAUCAUCUUGGUGUGGGGGAAUUUGUUAGAGUGCAAUUUAUGCACUAGUUUUACAUUGUUUACUUCCCUUAAGAUCGAUGUUUUGCACUUAAUAAUAAUGAUUUACUUGUGUUUUACUUUUGUAGGUGCAAUUCUAUUUAUUUGUGAUAAAAUUGAGCUAUAAGAUGAUGUUUAAAGAUGAUUGUUCUCUUGGAGAAAUUAUGAGCGUCAGAAGAACUUUGUUGAUAAGGCGUGGGCGCAUGCUGUCAACUACGGACCUGCAGUUUUUAGUUUAACGUGUUUUGUAUUUUUGGUUAUUUUUGUAAUUACAAAUUUAAUAUUUCAGAUAUUAGUAUUUUAUUUU
rnacentral:lncRNA from 1 species